AAAGGGGGUACUAGGGAGUCCAAGAGUUUACUCCCUUGGAGUUACGGCCCAAAGGCCACUCCUUGGGAGUUUACGGCCGUAAGCCUCAUGGCUUGACCGUGAACUCUUGUUCACUCCCCAAAUUUGAUGCAAAGUCCCUUAAAUCAACCCCUUUAAUUUUCUAAUGAAGGUCUAGGGCUAAUUAAGGGGUUUAAACCCUCAUUUGGUGAGGUUUGGGGGAUUUUAUUGUCUAAGCAUAUGUUUGGGCCGUAAACUCUAGUUUACCCCUCAAACAUGAUGUUUUACUUGGCCUAAACUCGAAUUGGAAGUUCCCUAGGUUGUAUCUCAAGUCCAAACAUGUUUUGGAAGCGUUUUGGGGCUUUUUGCAUGGAAAAAGGGUGUUUACGGCCUAAGCACGUGCUUGGGCCGUAAACCCUCUUUAAUGCCCUAAAAGUUAUGGUUUUGAUGCUCAAACACUCCUAAGUAAAACCCCUAACUAGUAUCCAAGCUUAAACGAAGGAAAUUUGGGACUUUUUGGCACAUUUUGGGUGUUUACGGCCUAAGGAGAUUCUUAGGCAGCAAACUCCUUGUUCAUGUCCCAUUCAUAUGAUUUUUGAGCUAUAACCACAAUGAUGCAUGUUUAGAACAAGUUAGGGAGGAAGAUCUUACGUUUGGAAGCCGGAAUUUGCGGUUUUGGAGUCGAAAACGAGUCUAGAGAGAGAAAGUAGUGAGAGAGAGAGUGUUUGAGUGGUAAAAGAGUUCAAAGAGGUGCUCACCUUCCUUAUAUAUGCCUCGGGUAUUGCACCCGGUACACGACUACCCGAUGCUAAAGUUUAACGGGGUUUAAAAUUUUUACCCGGGUUAAGUGGUUGAAAAAUAAUAUAACUUUAUUUUGUUAAACGGAACUAACAUUAAUGAGUUAUAUUUAUUUUUACUAAAAUAAUAAUCACACAAAAUAAAUAUAAAUAAAUAAAUAAAUUUUUAUUUAUUUGACGACUCCAAAUUACGAAACUUUUUAUAAAGCGACAUACUCCGUUAGCGAAAACGGAAUUAUAUAACAGAAUAAAAUUUGGGUUGUCACAACAUGUAAAUAACAUGUAAUUCACAUGCAAAUUACAAGUAUUUCACAAGUGAUUCACAUGUGAAUCACUUGUGAUUAACAUUUGAAUCACAAGUGAAUCACAUGUAAAUCACAAGUGAUUCACAUAUAAAUCACAUGUAAUUCACAUAUAAAAUCACAUGUAAUUCAUAUAUAUAAAUCACAAGUGAAUCUAAUAUGAGUUACAUAUGAAUCACAGGUGAUUCACAUAUGAAUUACAUGUGAUUCACAUGUAAUUCACAUAUGAAUCACAUGUAAAUUUUAUAUAAUAUAUGCAUGUGCAUUUUUGUGAGUGUUCUUGCAUUAAUCAAAUUUUUUUAAUUUUCUUGUAGAUUUUGAAGAAUUUGUGAAAAAUAUUGAGGAGGUGAAAAGUAAUAAAUUGAAGAAAAUAUGAAAAUCUUGAUAUGACGAAAUGAUAACAUUUUGAAUCUUCGUAGCGUUUUUUUUAUAUUUUAUUUUGUAUCGAAUAAAAUACUUGUACUGUAACAUCCCAACUCAGAAUCAAGAGUUCAGGGGGUAAAGUGUAAGUUUGGAAAAGAGGAACUCGGCGAGUAGGAGUUGCAACUCGUCGAGUCUAGGCGUGUGUCGGGCACAUGUUAAGUGACCGGACUCGCCGAGUCGGAGGCUGGACUCGACAAGUCCGUGCUAGAAUGAGAAGCCCUAAUUUCUAGGGUUUGCACCCUAUAUAAGGAACCUUAAGCCCCAUCCCAGCCUCUUUAGCACUCCCUUUGACGUCCAGAAGCUUUCCCCAUCAAUUUCAAACCCUAAAUUGAGAGUGAGAAGGAUUUAAGUGUGUUUUGGAGCUUGGAGAAGAAGGAUACUUGAAGCAAGAGUUGGUGGGAUCAUAGAGGAGCGAAGUGGAUCUGAUUUCCUUGCUUGUUGGCAUCAGAUUGAAGGUAAAAAGUUGUUGCCUUGACUUUGUUGUGCUUAGAUUGUUCAUAGUUGAAGUUUUAGGGCCAAAUUGUCAUAUAUGAGUCUCUUUUCGAGUAUGGGGUUCAGAUUUGUGGUUGCUACUACAGAUCUAGACUGGUCUUGACUCGUGAAUCGGGAAAGUGAUAGCUUUGGGGCUUGAUUGAGAGUGUCCUUGCCUUAAACCUUCAUUUUUAGCUUGUUGGAUCUUGUUGAGCCUUGCAUACACGUAAAGUUGGAAACUUUACAUGUGAAUCUGACCCUAGGAGUCCAGAUCUAUGUAUUGGAAGCAAUGGAAUGGCCUGUAAUCGUCUGAAUGAAGAUGUCACGAAUGGACUCGACGAGUCUGGGAGAUGACUCGGUGAGUCGGGCUAAGGAUCAGACUUUGAGUCGCGUAGUAACUUGGCGAGUCGCAUAGGUGACUCGGCAAGGAGUAUGAUGAUGAGCUUGGACUCGGCAAGUUGGAAGAACAUCUCGGCGAGUCUGUUGAAUAUUGCCUUGGACUCGGCAGUCUGUUCUUGGACUCGGCGAGUCUGGUCGUGAAGUCCUAACCUUUUCUAGUUGAGCUGUGAAUUGGUGAGUCGAGGGAUGACUCGGUGAGUUGAGCAGGAAGGGACUCAGAGCUUGUUGAACUCGACGAGUCUUGGGGUGACUCGGCGAGUUGAGUCGUGGCUUGGGGAGUUCUGAGCAUAGGAACUCGACGAGUCAACGGGUUGACUCGGCGAGUAGGGUCAACCAGGAAGGUUGACUUUGAUUGAGGACUUUGACUUGGACAAAGGGUUGACCAGUUGUCUUCCAUGGGUAUUUUGGUAAUUAUUGGUGUUUAUUGGUUUUGGUUAUUUGGUAAUGAUCGGUGGUGGAGUUCGUACUGGUGGUCGAAGCAGCGUUGUCUUAUUUCUUCAAGUCGGCAGUUGCAGGGGAGGUAUCCUCACUAUAUCGACAGGGUCUAAGGCACCAAGGCCGGCCCUUUAUCAGAUGGGAAUCCGGGUAGUUGUUUGUUAUGUUAUUGCUUUGCUAUGUCUGCAUCCUGGUAGUUAGGAUGGUAUAUGUUAGGGACCUGGUUAAGGUCGGUAUCCUGGUAUUUAUUANUGCAUCCUGGUAGUUAGGAUGGUAUAUGUUAGAGACCUGGUUAAGGUCGGUAUCCUGGUAUAUAGGAUGAUGCUAUGCUAGUGACCGGUUAGGUCGGUAUCCUGGUUAGGAUGUUGCUAUGUUAUGUGAUAUGUUGGAUCGGUUUGAUUAGUUGUGAGAUGUUAUAUGAUUAUAUGCUUAUGUGCACAUGGUUGUUGGACUGGGGUUAGGUUGAGGCGGGUCCUGCUUUGUGCUGUAGGCCAACAUACCCAGGGCGCACCGGUUAGACCGAAGGCCCGGAGAGCGGUACGGAUAGGCUGAAGGCCCCAAGAGGGCGGACCAGACGUGCCGAGGCUCAAAGAGUGGACCAGACAUACUGAAGGCCCGGUGCGGGCGGACCAGUCAUACUGUAGACUCAGAGAGUGGACCAGGUGGACUGAAGGCCCGGUGCAGGUGGACCAAUCAUACUAUAAACUCGGAGAGAGUGUGGACCGGGUGGACUGAAGGCCUGGUGCAGGCGGACCAGUCACACUGUAGACUCGAUAUGUAUGGUUGUUCUGUUUAUGAUAUGAUAUGUUAUGUGUAUGGUAUUGUGGUUGGUAUUUGGGGGUAACUCACUAAGUUUUCGGGCUUACAGUUUCAGUGUAUUGUUUCAUGUACUUCAGGAGACUGUGACAAGGCGAAGGCGUGAUCGUACCGCUCCUCAGUUUUAUGUUGUUGUUUCUGUGAUACUCUGAUAAUAAAUGAACUGAAAACCUUUUGUAAUAACUUAAUGAAUAUGGGUUGUUUUUGAAAAGUUUAAAUUGGUUGUAAAUUUUUGGAUGUUACAUGUACUAUUAUGUUUAUAGAUUGAUUAAUAAAAAUGAGAUUUUUUAUGAUUUACUUACGAAUAUUAUAGUAUAAGAAAUAUGUAUAUAUUCAUUUGAAAAAAAUAUGAAUAUAUGCACCUAAAAUGUUGAUUUUUUUUUGUUAAAAAAAUUAUAGUUUUUUUUUAAUAUUCUACUUUUUUUAUAUAAAUUUACUGAUUUUUAAAAUUUUAUAUAUUUUUUUAAAAAAUGCAGCUUUAUUAAAAAAAUGCAGUUUUUUUAAAACAAAUUUGCAGUUUUUUUUUGAAAAAGUUGCACUUUUUUUUUGAAAAAAAUUGCAGUAUUUUAGAAAAAAAUGUUGUUUUUUUUAAAUUACUAUGUUACUAAAAAAUUUGCAGUUUUUUUAAAUACAGUUUUUUUUUUCAAAAAAAUUGCAGUUUCUUUUUUUUUGAAAAAAUUGCAGUUUUAAAAAAAUCAAAUUUUUUAAAAAUUUAUGCUUUCCAAAAAAGUUAUAAAAAAACCUACAAUAAAAAAAACAAAAAUUAUUUUUUUUAUAAAAAAAUCUAAAAUUUUGUUUUAUAAUGUUAAUUUGAGAGCUUUUUAUUAAUAUUUCUAAUAAUACAAAAAAUUAAGUGGGAUUUGUAUGAUGGCGAUCAUGUCCUUAAUGAUUUGAUUUUGAUCCAACGCUCCACCUUUAGUUCUUAGGUUCUCAGGAAACUAUGAGUUUUCAACCGAUCUCACCCUUAUAUAUAUAUAUAUAUAUAUAUAUAUAUAUAUAUAUAUAUAUACACACACACACACACNUGAUUAGAUAUGUGUUCGGAACAGAGCGUUUGGAAGCGUUUGAGAGCUUCUAGCUUCUAACGUUUGACAAAACGCUCCGUUUUGAACAGCAAGUCUCGUUUGACACUACAAGCUUCUAGCGCUUAGUUUAAACAAAACGCUUCAAAUCCAAAUACUACUUCAUGUAAUGAUGCGACCUUGCUCUGGUUUCUUCCGUGAACUUCUCUCGAUCGUCUAGCUAUCACUGCAAGAUCACAAGAACAGAGGUCGUCAGCCGCUUUCCGGGAGGAGCUCCCGGAAGAACGCUCCAACGGUCAAGUUAGAGAGUAUUUUAGGGUUUGUGUGUAUUCUCUCUAGAAAGCUUAGAGAACUUACCUUGCAGGUCUGAGAGCACAUCCUUUUAUACCUAGCCGUACCAGACAGAAUCGCUUUUGGGGAGACAGGAUCAGAGGCGCUGAUUGGAGGGUCAUGCGCCUUCAACCGUUAGAGCGCUCUCAUUGGCUCAGACGAUAAUGUUCUGAUCCUCCUGCUUGUCUCCUGACCAUAUCUUUUGUCCUGGAGUCAGGAGCGCCUCUUGGCGGGCGCAAGCCUUUUGCCUGUGCGCUUCGCUCCCGGGGACGCCAGCGGGCGCUGAGCCUGCUGGGCUGAGCUUAGUUGGCGUGCCCGGCUCUAAGGCUAGACGCGGUUCUACUGUGCUGCGCUAGGCACGCCAUCAAGUCCCCCAGUCCAGUAGUCGUAGCGUUGCAGCGCUUGUUACGGCGUUCUAGGCUUAACUAACUGACGUGUGUCGGUUUUUCUUUAUCCGCAUCUUCGCCUUUAAUGGCGACGUGACUGCGAGAUAUGACUGGCAGUUACGUCAUUGUGUCAGACAUUUAAAUGUCCCGCCUCUUCCACUUUUUAUUAAGGGUCUCUGCACAGUUUCUCUUGCCUUAUCUGCUCUUCUUUUCCCUUUUUGCGUUCAUCUUCUAUUUUCGUUCAUGGCAAACCUUCCCGGAAUCGUUCCAUCCACCGCCGAGUAUCAUCAGUUGGCGAUCUCUUAUGGUUUGUCUUUGUAACACCCUGCUUUUAUAUGUGUCAGUGGUAUUGGGCUUCUCGUUGCCCUCGCAUGAAUGUGAAGUAAUUUGGGAGCGGGUUUAGAUUAGAAGAGUUGAGGUGUUGUGAAGUUGAACAUUGUUCAUAGCCCUUUUGUGUAAGGAGAAGGAGAUGGCCUCAUGCAUGCAUGGCAUGCAUGCAAGUUGUUAUCUUUGAAAGGUGGCUGGGUACGCCCAGCGUAAGCUGGACGUACGCCCAGCGUAAGGGUAGGAAGGAUGCGCGUUGGCCGAGUGAGUACGCCCCGCGUACCAGGGAGGUACGCCCCGCGUACUCACAAAAAUCCCAAACCCUAUUUUUAGGGUCAGCCACUAUAUAAGGAAUAAGAUGGUUCACCCCUCAGCCUCCUUACACUCAUCUUCAACCUCAGAGAAACCCUAAUCUCGUAUUCCCUCCAUAUUUGAGUGUGUUUGACCUUGAGAAGCUUAUAUUGGCAAAAGAAGGGCUUAAAGGAGAAAAGGGAAGUUGUCAAAGAAGAAGAAGAACGUGUGGAACUUGUGGAUCUGAAGAAAUACCACCCUUUGGAGCUGCUUUAAGGUAUAAAGCUUCUUGCUUGACCUUCAUAUUUCAUAGAUCUAUGUAUUUUGAAGCUUUAUCCCCAUUCUUGUCCCAAAAGUCUUCAUCUUGUUGCAUAGUCCGAUUUGGUCAAGUGUAGCUGUCCUUUUAGACCUUUGGAGAGGUCUUGAGUGAUAAAAAUGAGGUCCCAAGGGCUGUAGUUAUUUCAUGUAUGAGUUAUGUGGGUCUUAAUGGAUUAAGACCUUGGAUUAAGAGCUUAAUGACGUCCCAAGUGAUAAAGUCUGAGACUUUAUGAGUUCCAAUCAUGUUUGGCCUAUGGAUCUGGAGUUUGGGCUUAAGAGCUUAAGCCAUUAAGCCAUUAUGUGGAUUUGUUGAGCAUAAGGGUUACGCCCCGCGUAGCCUUAGAGUACGCCCCGCGUAGCGGGCCGAUGCCCCGUUUCCCCUUGCGAGUCGUUGCUGUACGCGCCGCGUACCAAGGAGGGUACGCCCAGCGUACUCCUCCUGUUGGACUUUCAUAUUUGGGCUUCGAGUUUGGGCCGUUAGUGGACAUUUGGGUGUUGGGCCAAGUCUAGGAAUUUAUGGACAGAGUGUUUUGGGCCCAAUUAUUGUGAUGGACCUUGGUUCUAGGCCCAUUUGGUGAAGUGGGCCCAAUUUAGUAAAUUGGGCCAAUGUUGGGCAGGACAGGAAUCGGGAAUCAGUAGACUCGGCGAGUCAGGGGAUGACUCGGCGAGUAGAGUCGCGAGUGGAAGGACUCUGGACUUAUGAACUCGGCGAGUCAGUAGGGUGACUCGACGAGUAGGGUUGACCUGGAAGGUUGACUUUGACCAGGACGUUGACUUUGACCAGAGUUGACUUGGUUGACCUUUGAAGGUCAGUUAGACUAAGUGUUAUGUUGAUAUUGGUAGCUCGGGGAGCUAGCGGAGCAGCAGUUCGGAGUCAGUGGUCAGGUAGCGGUCAAAGGGGUUAGCAGCAGCAGUUCAGCAGUAUCAGGUGAGUUUCCCUUUGUAUGAAUGGGUCUACGGCCACAAUGCCGGCCCAUGUAGUUAUGAGUAGAAGACCCGGGGGUUAGCCCUAGGCACAGUAUGCUAGUAUGAUAUUCGGACGAGGUCCAAUGAUAGAGGGCGGGUGCCCAAGGAGCGGUUUAUGUGAUAGUUUAUACUUGUUGUCUGUGUGAUACUUGUAUGUGCCUGGUAGGGAGGUGAGUGUGGGCGAGGUCCCGUAUCUCACCAAUAGCAGAGUGUGGAUGGUGUUCCACAUCUCAGUAGCAGCAGAGCAGGGGCGAGGCCCAAGUUAGGAAAGGAGUGAGGGUGGGCUGGGCCCGUAUCUCACUAUCAGUAGGAGUAUGGACGAGGUUCCAUGACUCAUCAGUAGCAGGACACGGGCGGGGCCCAGAGAUAGGCGAGGCCUUAGAGCAAGAGUUGUUAGUAUAUGUUUAGUUUAUGUAAUGUUAUGUGAUAUGUUUAUGUGCUAUUAUAUGUUAGUGGGCGAGGCCUUGUGACAGGCGAGGCCUAAGUGAAACAGAUAUGUAUUCGAGCGGGGCUCGAAGCCAAGCGGGGCCUGGAGCGGCGAGGCCGUUGUAUCGGGCGAGGCCCGGAGUAGGGGCGUGGCCCAGUAUGUGCAGUAUGUGGUUUUGCAUGGUAUGUGGUAAGGUGGGGAACUCACUAAGCUUCGUGCUUACGGUUUUCAGUUUUGUUUUCAAGUACUUCCGAUAGCGGAGGGAGGAGCUCGGGGUGAUCGCAUGGCACACACCAUAGAUUAGUCAGCCUGUGAAUGUUUACUCUGAUAAUAAACAUGUGUUUUGAAAACUUAUACUCAGAUUAUGUUUUGGAAUGAUGUCUUUGUUUAAAGUAAUGUUUUAUUAAAAAGAAAUUUUUGGUCUUGAAUUUUGGGAUGUUACAGUCUUCCUUGGAGGGUGUGGAGUUUCCCUCUCCUGAUUCCAUUAUCUCCUCCCCUCCCCCUGGUAAGAUUGGGGUUUAUCUGGUGGCAGUUAUUUGUUUCACAUGGCGCACGAACGCGGGAAGUUUAAGGUUCAUUAACAAAUGAGAAAUCUAACCUUCCUAGGAUAAAACGGUAAUGUCCAGAUGUAUUAAUAAAUAUAAUACGCACCAAAGAGGCAAAGACCCUAAAAGACUGCCGUUAACAAAGCACAUCCAGGAUAGAAAAAAAUAAUAAUAAUAAUAAUUAAAUUACAUGGUAUGUUAUACAUUUUUGGAUGACGGAAGCUAGGCCUAUGCAACAUUUUUUUUUUCUUUCUUGGAAUGUCUUAAGAUGACGAAAGCUAGGCCUAUGCAACACAAGGUCUUUAGUAUUGCCAACAUUAAGGCUCAUAUUUUAUUUAUUCUUGACCUUGAAGCAUAACUUUUGGGGAACUUUCUUAACUCUAAUGGCUACGAUGUUAGUGAUCAUUUGAAUUGCCUCAUGUGAUCACUAUAAGAAAAGUCCUUGUUAGUGCCUAAGUGACGACCUAAAAUUUGGUCGCUAACAACAUUUAGUCACCAUGUAUUAAGUCAUCACUAUGUUUUGAUAAUAUUACAAAUUAUUAUGAUGGUCAUCGCUUACCUGUCACCAAAAUGUAGAUUAAAAUUAAAUUAACUUUUUUUGUAUAUAUUAGUGACCAAAAAUGGUGGUUGCUACAUUGAUUUAAUAACCAAAAUAAAUGGGCACCGGUUGAAUUAAAGGUUUAAUGAUGGCAAAAAGUAGUAUUGAAGUGUUUAUUGGCUUAUCAUAUUUUAAAAAAUAAGUUUUUAAAAAGUGUUUAGGUUAAUGUUUGGCUUAGGUUUUUUAGAAAUAAAAAAUGGUAGGAAAACUAAAAAGCUAGAAUUUUGUAGUUUUUUGAAACUCGUUUAUUUUGCUUAUCCAAAAAGUUGUUUGAAAAACACUUUUGAACAACUUAAAUACUUUUUUAGUUUAUUCGCUUUUUAGAAAACCAAUAACCUAAUAAACUAAUUUGAGAAACAAUCUCAAACACCCAUUUAGUGACCAAAAAUAAGCAUUGGAGACUUAAUGACCAAAACUAAUGGUGAUUAAGUACUCUUCAUUUUCGAACCCACCUUAAUAUCAUGUAAAAACAUUGUUUAGGUUAUUUAAUUACCAAAUGAAAUAGGUUUAGAUAUCAUAAAAUAGUUACUAGCUAUUUUAUAUAAUGAGUUGGAGAAAAGAUACUAACUAACAAAUAACAAAAAUUGAGUUUAUUGAAUAUUUAUUGAAAAAAACUUUCAAACAAAAUAAAGUUUACUGACUAAUAAAAUAACAAAACAGUUUUUAUUGAAUAUUUAUUGAAAAUUGCCAAAAAAAAAACAAAAUAUUGUGGUCAUAAAAAAAUGGUCACUAGAAAUUUAAGUAGAAAGUCAUUGGUUGGUUCACCCAUGUGGCAAUUAUAUACAUAUUAAUUCUCAUAGAGUUGGUGAGCAGUAACGUUUUCUAAUUUGGAAUUUGGCCACAACUUUUUCUGGCUUUUAGACAUUUGCCACAAAAAUUUUGGUGAUUCAUAAACUACCAUACCGGCUAUAAUCAUCUACUAACCGACUCUAAUUUCCAAUCAGAAGAAUGCAACCUAUCAAUCUCCCAAUCAGAUGAAGUUCAUCUCUCUCACCCCGCGUAUACAACCGGAUAUCCAUGGAUACCAUCAUCAACUUCUUCUCUGAUACUUCUCCACUGCUUCUUCGCUUCUCUAUGCUUCAUGCCUUUGAGCCUAUGUGCCGCUCGGGAGGGAGGAGUCGCCUUCUAUUUUCUAGCACCACAUGAUCUGACGGCGAUAUAUGUUCCAGUGCCUCACCCUGUUCAGGACCUUAUUUGCCCUAGCAAUUUCCCUAUCUUUGAUGCCCUCCUCCAUAUUGUGGCUCUCCAAACCACCGUACAGCUCCGCCUCUGCCAUUAUCACCUCAGACAGAUUCCAUCAACGACCGCCACCUUCCAGCGUCGUCGUCUUCACGCCUCCAUUUCAGCAUUGCCGGCGUUAACUCAUCAGCCAUCGUCCGAUGUCAGCUUUGCAUCCUCAACCAAUCACCGUAUGAGCCACCACCUCAGUCGUCUGCUUCUUCACCCUCCGAUGAAUCCUCUAUUUUUCCAUAUCUCAUCAGUUUCCCAAAAAUCUGUUACCAACAUUGGCUUUCUCUUUUCCGCUGCUCUUUCAACAUACUAUUGCUUCCUCUUUAACUCUAAAUCCAGAGAGCAGUCACCAGUUCUCAUGUCGCCCACCACCAUCCUCUCCAACCUCUAACAUCCCCUACCUAUGCUAAUACUACCGUAUUCGAAACCCAACGCCGGAAGGAAUCUCUCUAUCACAUCAACAAAAAGACGGAGACUGGAAUGGGAGAAAGAGAAAGAGAAACCUGGAAAUCGAAUUUAGGUAGCCACAAUUACUUGGUCAUCUUCUCAAUUUUUCGUAAACCAAUGUGUUGUUCAAGUAAGGUUGUCGUUCUUCGAAUGAAAGUACGUUCUGGUAAGUUUUUCACACAUUUUCUUUUUAUGACACAUACUCCUGAAUUGUCCCAAAGUAGUAUAUCAUAUACUAAAUAGCUAUAACUAGGACACUAUUGAUUUAAUAAAUAUGCUGUUAAAGCACUUGAAAUUAAAGUAGAAAAGAUUAAUAAUAUUUUUGCUGGUGGAAUCAAAUCUGAAGCAUUCUUCAGCCCUUGCAGGAGGGAGUAAAAUAAAUCGUGUUUGAUUUUCCAACAAAUUAAGUGAUUAUUUCUAUUCCAAAACUUGAUAUGAUGUUCACAAUAUUUAGGCUGCUAUUUAGAUAAUAAGAAAAGCUUCGGUCAAAGUUGGUGACAUAUUAGAUGACUUGCAUGGUAACCUUGAUGAUCAGGAGCAAAGUAUAGCUGCAAUUUUGCAACAACUAUAUGAGGUACAUAAAUAGCUAUUAGUCAAAUGUCUGAAACACCCCUGACUUGUCACUUUUCUGUAUUACAGUGAAUUUCCUCAAGACUCUAAGCACAAACAUUUUGAUUGUGAUUCAUACAAUUCACCAUUUUAUCUCAAUAAUACCAGACCCAAAUAAAACCAAACAGAAAAAGACCAAUAUGCCCAUUAUUAAAAACAUAUCCUGAUUGCAAAGCCAAAUUUACUCCGAUCACUCCUAAUACCAUUCCAACUGAAACCCAACAUCGGUUCUUUUAUGGAGUCUGACUUCUUGAUGGGUAUCUGUUAUUGGUAUUUUGAUGCAAUACCGCUUUCCAUGUUUCCAAUUUGAUGACCCAUCUCAUAUGUGAAUUUGGAUGAUGCUGAAUAUCCGGGAAAAAUAACUGGUGACCAACUGGUAAAUGCAUCGGGCGUUGACACAAGUUACACUGUUCAACACAAUCAACAUCUUUCGUUGAUUUCACAACAGGUAGCUUUUUAUUUGAUUCACAUAAUACACAUUAAACUGGUAUUAAAUAUUAGCGAUUACGAUUAACGUAUUUUUGUAAAACAACAACUACACACCUUGACCCGUUUGUGCUCAUCCAGAUUCGGUCAGACACAGUUAUUAAGGUUACCAAAAUUAUUCAUUCGGCUUAGUAAAAGUAUAUAGUUUAACAUACUACCUUAAGUAUCUUUUUAACAUGGUUCGCCAGUCACCAAUUAUCAUGGUUUUUUCAUUCUACACUUUUAGGAAGAUUCCACUUUACGCAUCUACGUAUAUGAUUUCUUGUGAUUCUUCUAAGUUUAGUUGCAAACUUGAAUUCCUUUCAUAGGCUCGCAAAGAUGAUAUCAUAUCCUUUAAAGUACAAUGCUAUGAUAAGGAAAAAUUAGAAACCACAUUAUCUAUAUGGUCCAUCGAAGCUCACAAAACUUUAUUAUUUAAAAAGAAAAUUGUUCUAAUUUGUGCAGCUAACCAAGUUUUUUUGUUUAUUUGUUUGUGUUUCUUUCUCUUUGUUUAUGGUAUCUACUGUGCUAGAUAUGUUAGGUGCCUUGUUACCUAUUUUUCCACCUACUGUACAUGUAUACUUAUCACCUACUUUUUCAUAUUACCAAUCAGGUAUCAAGAAAAUUGUAUGAUGGUCACAAGUUUCCUGUUGGCUCUCAAAAGCUUUAUCAUCAAUGUAUUUUCGUAAUGUAUUAGCCUUAUGAAAUAUCCAUAAAGGAACAAAUUAAACCUGAAGCAAGGUUUGUAUUGACCUUUCAUGCUUUUGUGGCACUUUUGUAAUUUGUCAAGAGUUAUAAUGAACAUCAAUAUUACAUAAGUUCAUAGUGUUUAUUAUUUCUACGUUAAAACAUAAAAUUCCACAUACACAUCUACAACUACUUUUCUAAAAAAACAAAACAAAUAAAUGUUGUAGAAAAAACUAAAGUCAAAGAAACCAUAUUAUUAGUCAAAAGGUAAGCAAAGGUGAUCUACCCAUGAUCCUCUAUUGGUAACGUACUUAAUCUGCAGCUUUUGUGUUUAGUUAUGUAUGUAGCCCGUCUCCUCUUGAUUGUCUUUUAAACACAAAAUUUAACCAAAGUUGAUCUAAACUAGCGCCAAAGGCGCAGGCAAAUUCCUGCUAGUUCCUUAUUAUUUGAGUCUUCAAUUUCAUUGUUUUACCAUUUUGUUUAAUUGAUAAUAUUUAAGUUUGUUUUAUGUUUUAAAACUACACACAUAGAUGACUCAAAAAAAUCCCUAUACUUUAUUAAGAUAUAAAAUAAGGACAAUGUCCUUAUUCUUUUAACCUAUUUUAAGGACUGUUUGGUAGGAUCUGAGUUUUUAAGAUCUGAAUUAUAAAAAUGACUAUUUUACCCUCUGUAUUAUUUUAUACUGAAUUCAAUGUUUAUUUUUAUAAAAUAAUUGAACAAUUCCUUCAAUAGUUUAUAUAUAUAUAUAUAUAUAUAUAGUUAGGUUAUUUUCUUUCUAAUUGUGUGCCAGAAUACAAAGAUCUGGACCAUCGGAUGGAAUAUAAUCAAAGGUCAUGAUCUGAGGGUCUAUGAUAGUACAAUAGGGUAACAUUACCAUAUAAUCACACAAAUUUUAGCAUAAGGGCAUUGUAGUCAAUUGAGACAAAUUUAAAAUAUGAAAAAUCAAGAUUUAUGGGAUAAUUGAUUAUUUUGAUCUAAAAGUCUGAUUUUUUUUCAAAUUAAUUCAAUUUCAAACGUAAUUUGUAAACAUAAACCGAUUUUAUUCUAUCAGAAUGUUAUUUUGUUAUAAUGAUAUUUUGUAAUUCUAUUAGAAUGAUAUACAACUAUCAACAUAAUAUUAUAAAAACAUAUUAUCAACACCAAUAAUUUUUAAUGAAUAUAAAUUUUAUAUAAGACGAAGUUUAAUAGUUUAGAAUAGGUAAUUACAUUCAUUCAUAAAGAAUACAACUAUGAACAUAAACUACAUUCAUUCUUGAAAUCUCUUGCAAAAAAAUAAUGACAUUCUUGAAAGAAUCCUCAUUCACUUUCUUGUUUCGUUUCUAGAUGUCUUGUGUAUGUUUGACCUCUAAGCCACUUCAAAAUAUGCUAGCAUUCUAUGAGAUUGACAUUUUGUGAGAUUGGCAUUCUGUCAGAAUUGUAUUGCAUUAGAAUAAUUUUAUACAAGCAGUCUUUCCCAUCAGGUCUUCAAACCAUUCUUCAAGUCAUUUCUAUCACAAAUUCAUUGCCAAAUAUUUUGUUAUGAUAUACUUGUAACAACUGCACAUUCAACAUAUAACUAAUUAACUACAAUUCUAUCAGAAUACAUCAAUAAUAUUCUUACAGAAUAAACUAUUCUUGCGGAAUAAUUUUGAAUAUUCUUAAAGAAAUUGUAUUACAAAUACCUAGAUUUCAACUAUGCAUUUUAUCGAACACGUGGUGUGCUUCUUCAGUUUCUUCAAAAAAAAUUAAUAAGAGUCUUACCAAUUCAGUUUCUUGAAUUCAAGAAACAAACCCAAACAACCAUGAGUUAUAUCUCAUCCAUUAUCAUAAGUUUUUUUCAGGAAAACCUAAACAUCCAAAUUUACAUGGAUUCAAAUCAAAAUAAGACGAAGAAGAAGAUCACCUGUUGGCCAUGGAUGCUUCCGUUAACUCCCUCUUCCUUCGAUCAAUCAAGAAUCGAGAAUAGGGAUGUCAAAAAUCCCUGUGGGACCCCGAUACCGCACGGUACUAAUUUUUAAAAAAAUCUGGGAGCGGGAGCAGGGGCGGGGGCAAUAUUAACUCCCGUUUAUUUUCGGGAUCGGGGGCGGGAGUGAGUAUUUCCGUCCCGUACUCCUGCGGGGGCCCCGUUUAUAUUUNUAUAUAAAAAAGGAAAUUAGGGCUUGAACUUUUCCAUGUUCCAUCGAUUUACAUUUACUCAUUCUCAUUCUCGCCAAUACAAAUAUGAUUAUAUGAAUGAAGACGACUAGGUUCCAACUUCCGACUUCAGCUUCCUCCUUAGUCCUUCCUUCCCGACUCCCGUAAGACCUGUAGUAUACUCCGACUGCGACUUCUCGUCUUUUCCAACUCCCACCAACGACAGGCGAGUAGGCGACCAGCGAGGCAGCGAAGCAGCGACCCCCUUCUGCAUUCCAUGGUAAUGUUGCAACUUCUGACUUAACACAUGUUUAGAUAAAGUGUUUGAAAACUUCUCAAGUUUAACUCUGUAAAGAUCAAUUGACUAUUUGAAAUAUAAAUGACUCACAAAUGUCUCAAGUUCUUCACUUGAUGUAUCUAACUGUUCAAAAACAUGUAUCCAUUGAACCUUAGGGGCAGAAAAAAUUAUGCUUGGACGGUUGCACCUGAAACCAAUCUGAUAGAUAUUAAAUAUGAUGCAAUUUCAUUGAUAACUAACACACACUUGAACCUUCUUCAGUAAAUAUAGAUAAUCAGCACUUUCUAGUGGUAGAAACUAUUAGUGUGACUUCAAUUUUUGGAUCCAUAUAUAAACCUAACAAUAUUAAUUGCACUUCUAUUCUGGGUUAUGCUUCAAGACUAAGUAUAGAACUAUAUAUGAAAUUCAACAAUAUAUGUUAAUGUGAUUUGUAUGCCCAGUAUAAACUAAAUGAUAAAAAUGCAUAAAUCUUGUCGGUAAUAACUAGAAAAUAUUGAAACAGAGAACUAAAUCGCAUAUCAAAUGAGGCAUAGUACAUGUUACUGGUCGCGGCCCGCCAAUUACUCCACCUGAUUAAAAAAAUCAAUUAGUAUUUGAUCAUUAUUACUGCUUACAGAUUGUAUUCGGCACUCCGACUGUUUGUGUGAAUGAUUUUUAGAUUUCUCACCCAUUGUUUAUGUCAAAUUAAUAAAUGCUGUGAAAUUACUAAAUGUCUCCAUACAUGUAUUUUUUAGCUAGAUAAGUCAUGUACAUGAUUUCUCACCGAUUUUUUGUGUGAAUCAUUUUCAGAUUUUUGUAAUCAUGUCUUCAGCAGAACCGAAUCAACCCAAUGAUUCAAACACGGUUAAUGAUACUGCCAAUUCUAGAGUUAAAUGUAACGAGAAACAAAUUAAAUUCACAUCUCCAAUGUGGCGUCAUUUCACCUAUGAAGAAGUUAAUGGAACCAAAAAGGUUGUUUGUAAGUAUUGUAGGAAGGAAGUUACUUAUACAACCAAAAAUGGAACCAAAGGGAUGCAUUCUCACCAUAAGUCAUGCAAAAUACGAAUUGGGCAAAAGAAAAUUGAUGAUUUUCAGAGUCAGUUAACCGGAAAAAGAUCUAAGACGGAUGAAAGUGGGGGAUCAAUUUUAGCAACACAUCAGUUUAAUUAUGACGAUUCACAAACCGAUCUUACUAAAAUGAUCACAAAACAUGAUUACCCACUUAGAAUUGUUGAACACGAAGGCUUUAGAGAUUUUUGUGAGGGGCUCCAACCACUUUUUAGGCCUAUUUGUAGAAACAUAGCUAGAUCUGAUGUCAUGAAGUUGUACGGUGAGGGAAACGCAAGGAUGAUGCAUUUUUUGGAGAGUAUUCAACGUAUGAUUGCAAUAACUACCGACAUAUGGACUGCCAACUACCAAAAAAAAUACAUGACAGUGCAGCCCAUUUCAUUGAUGAUUCUUGGCAAUUACAAAGUCUGUCUUUUGAUGUAAUACUUAAUUUAUAUUGAUUUCUCUAAUCUAUCAGUAUGCAUUCUUUAAUUAAAUUGAAUUUAUUUAGUUAACUGGUAAGUUUGUAUAUGUGUCAUGUCCCCAUACUGCUGAGAAACUAACUCAUGUGUUGAUGAAUAGUUUGUUGGACAGGAACAUAGAUAAAAAAUUAUCAACUUUAACUGUUGAUAAUUGUUCAACAAAUAAUUGCAUGAUAGAUUUGAUGGUAGACAAACUACCUUUUGAUAGCUUGAUUUUGGAUAGAAGCUUGUUUCAUAUGCGAUGUGUUGCACAUAUUUUGAAUUUAAUUGUGAGGAGUGGCUUGGAUGUUUUUGGACAUGGGAUUGAGAAAGUGCAUAACAGUUGUAGUUUUUGGAUAGCUACACCAAAAAGACAUGAUACAUUUCAAAAAAAUGCAAAGUGUGAGAAUGUUUCUUGUGAAAAAAACCUAGUUGUUGAUUGUAAAACACGAUGGAAUUCUACGUAUUUAAUGUUUUCCACGGCUUUGAAAUACAAGUAGGUGUUUUAUCGGUUACAACAACGUGAGCCCGAAUAUAAGAAUGCACCCGAUGAGAAAGAGUGGGCUUUGGCAAGUGAGCUUUAUGAUAGACUAAAAAUCUUUUAUAAUGUCACAGAAUUAUUUUUGGGAACAAAAUAUCCAACAACCAACAUUUUUCCCCCAAAAUAUGUGAAAUAAAGAUUGCUCUAAAGAAAUGGGAUACAUCUAAUUUCAUUGAAAUAAGCGAAAUGUCCGAAAAUAUGAUUCCAAAGUUUGACGAGUAUUGGAAAGAAAGUCACGGGGUGUUGGCUAUGGCGACAAUAUUGGAUCUAAGGUUUAAGAUGAAGCUCCUAGAGUAUUUUUUUUUUCCUAUUAUCUAUGGAGUAGAUAAUGCAAAAGAUGAAAUUCAGAAAGUGCGUCAAAUUUGUGAAGAUAUAUAUUUGCGAUAUGAGUUACGUGUUAUGAGUCAAGCAAGUAAUGAUGAUAUUACUACUAAGCCCACUUCUAGUCGAGAUGCAGCUCCCGCAAGUGACAUGGACUCAUUAGAUGCUUUCUUUUCAUGGAACUCUGCUACUAGUGAAGUUUUUGUGAAAAAUGAAUUAGAAAGGUACUUAGAGGAAGGCACUUUACCCCGGAUUCAUGAGUUUGAUUUGUUAGGUUGGUGGAAGUUAAAUGGGGUUAAGUAUCCUACAUUGUGUUUGAUUGCAAAAGACAUAUUAGUCAUUCUUAUCUCCACUGUUGCUUCAGAGUCUUCUUUUUCUACAAGUGGUAGAAUCAUUGGUCCACAUAGGAGUAGACUUCUUUCGUCAACAAUUGAAGCUAUCAUAUGCACUCAAAAUUGGCUAUGGGAGGGUAAAAAAGGUAUGUAUGAAUUUGCUUUAACCAUUGUUUUUUAAUUCAUUUUAAUAUAUUAUGCUUAUUAUCUUUAUUUAUUUUUUCCUUGUUAGGUUGUGUUAUUGAUGGUGAUGAUGUACAUUCCGAUGAAGACGAUGAGCGACUUGAGGUAAGAUUGUUCAAUUUGUCGUUUUCUCUUGAAUAAACUAAUAUAAUAAUUUAUUUUAUUAUUACUUUUGUUAUUUAUUUAGGGAGGAUAUUCGAAUGUCGGUGAAUGAAGAGUUGAAGGAAAUUAAUUGACACUAAAGAUGUAGUGAAUUGGUAUUUUAUAUUUAUAAUUUUGGAUUUGUCGUAUUUUGCAUUUGUAAUGUUGGAUUUGUCUUCGUAAGAUUGUUGUAUUUGUCUUUGUAAGAUUGUAAGAUUGUUGGAAUUGUUGGAUUUUUAAUUUUUUUAGUUUCUAAAAGAUUAGGUUUUAAGCUUUUAAAUUUCAUAAAAAUAGUAUUUUUGCCAAAAAUAAAGCAGUGUUUUAGCAAAAAAAUCCAAUUUUAAGUCGGGGAACCGGGGGAACGGGAGCGGGACUGGGGGCGAUGGAGGUAACCAGGGGCGGGACCGGGGCUGUGUAAAUCCGGGAACCGAGGGCGGGAGAGGGGGCGGGGGCGGGGGCACCUAUUUCCACUCCCGUUUGCCCCCGUUGACAUCCCUAAUCGACACCCUUGUAUCCCUUAAACUUGUUGUUUUGCUGUUUCCUUUCUCCAUUUUGUGUCAAUGGCCAACAGCCCCAUUUUCGUGUUCUUCCUUUACUGACAAACAAAGAAAAACAAACACUUCCCAGUUUCAAUCUUUUGUUUCCAUUCUCUCCCCUAGUUGUUGGAUUACCAUACCAUAGAAAGAAGAACAGGAGGCUGUCGGAGCAUACCUCCGUCCACGUACUUGAAAUCGCCAGGAUUUCCUCCCCGUUCGCUCCUCGCGUUCACGGACCCCACAGCAGCGCCAAUGCUCCUCCGCAUCCCCUUCUUCAGCCUCAUCAAACCCCAGAGUUCAUCAUCAAUUGCGAGACGAGAGUAUGUGCUCCCUUUUGGAUCCGUCGAUUGUAGAAGAAUAAGCAUAAGCGGUGAUGGUGAUGGUGAUGGUGUUGAUGCCGAUGAUGAACUUGUUCGGCCACAUACAUAACUAGGUCAAAUAUAUUUACUUUAUUUCCUUAAUUGAAUGAUUUCAAUUAAAUGAUUUCCUUAAUUAAAAGUACAAAAGGUCCAAAAUACCCUUUCAUGAUUUAUUUAAUUAUUUAUUAUUUCUUGAAUUCUCAUUGAUGCAUUUAGACACACAAUAGUUGCUAGAAAUAUNUAUAUAUAUAUAUAAACAUCAUACAAAUUUAAAAUUAUACAUACAAAAUUAAACAAAAAUCUAAAUAGAAACAUUUAGGAUGACAAUGUUAUAAAAUAAUUGAACCAAUUCCUUCACAAAGCUUAUUUCUUCCUUAUAAAACAAUGGGAAAAUAUUCAUUCACUAAAAACUAAAAACAAGGCACCAAAGUUAAAUUCAACACUAGACACAUGAUAAAAUUCCACAAAAUUAAACAAUAAACAUAAGAACAUCUUCAUAUGCAAAAUUGUAACCAAACAUCAUUAUAAUGGACUAUUUAUUAAGAGUUAUAUCACCAUAAACCAAUUGUUCAUUAAAUUUCUUGCAACUAUGAAGUAUUUUUGUAUUCUUUGAUAAAAAAAAACUUUAACUUGCAGCUACAAUGGAAUCAAGCUUUUAGCAAACAUGUGCAAAAGAAUAGAGUAGAACAAGCAAACAAUCACAAUGGUGAUGUGGCUGUUGAGCAAAAUUGCAGUGGCAUUGGUCAAAAGUGGAGUCUGUAAUAGUUUGUAAUGUUCUUGAAACUACUUGAGUUAAGUUGGGAACCCAUGGUUAUGGGGAAAUCGAUUUCAAUUCAGAAAACGGAUUGUAGAAAAUUUGCAAUUUCAGAAAACUCCAUUUCAGUCAGCAAAAAAACGAGAGAAAUAGAGCGGGAGAAAUACAAACCUAUGGUGGAAACAGUGGGAAAUAGUGAUUGGGAGGAUGGCGAUGGCCAGAGAUGGCGAUGAUGAUGAGGGUUGUCGGUUGUUCUCCGGCUAUUGGUGGCGAGGGUAAAGAGCAAGAAAAACAAAUUCGAGAAAGAACGAGGCUGUAGGGAGGCGCCGGCAGUGGCGCUGGAGGAGGCGAAGGUUCUGGUGAAGGCGGUGACCGGCUGAUGGCAAGAGUGGUGGAGGAUUGCAAGUCGUCGAAGAUGGCUGGGAGGGGAAGACGUGUCGUGAAAUAGAAAAGAUGGGACAUAAUAUAUUUUGGACAAAAUAGGAACAUGCUUUACUUUUUUUUCAGAUAUAAACUUAUCUCUGAAAAAUUAAGAGGUAUUUUCAGAUUAAGAGGCAAAAAAUAAUAUACAACCAAAUACUCUACAUCUUAAUUUUAAGAGAUUGCCUCUUAAUUUUUCAAUUAAGAGACUACCAAACAGCCCCUUAGUCUCUUAUCAUAUCUAGAUAUUCUGAUUUUAUGAAUGAUCAAAAAUUAAACUUGAUUCAAAGAAUUAUACUUUUACAUACACACGGUUCGUUUUAGGUGCAUUGAAAAUCAUUAAGCGCAUUAAGACUUGUUGUUGAUCCCUUAUUCUUUAACAAUUAUUAUUGGAAAGGUAUUGGAUAUUAAGUGCAUUGAAAAUCUUUACAAAUUGUGUUAUAAGGAAGGUUUUAACGGUAUGAACAUUGCUUAUUUGGGAGGUGGUUGAAAGUGAGUAUCAUUCUCAUUGAUUUGAAUAAUAUACAAUACAACAAUAUAUAUGGACGAGUACAACAAAAGGCCACAUGGGUCAUAUUACAAAACAUAUACAUAGGAGAACGCAAUCCGCUAACAUCCCCACACAGUUUGAAUAGGAGAGGGACAAACGUUUAAACUCGAUUGGGAUUCAUGGAACAAUGUGGAUGGAAGGCCCUUAGUGUGCCAACAUAUUGGGAUGAAGAUAAAACAUGGAGGACUCUGAUGGCACUAGUUGUAACCUUAUCAUGCACAAAAAUGAAUAUCGAUCUCUAUGUGUUUGGUGUGUUGAUGUUGCACUGACGAUAUAUAAGCAACGAUGAUACUGUCACAAUAGACAUUUGUGGCUUUAGUGGGGGUGAUGAAGCUCACUGAGAAGAUUACGAAGCCAACAAGUCUCUGCAACGACAUUCACAACCCAACAGUAUUCUGCAUCGAUGCGAGAUCAAUAGAUGAUACCUUGUAUUUUAGAGGACCAUGAAACAAGGUUGUCACCAAGGAACACACAAUAGCUAGAAGUACAUCUCCUAGUGGCUGAGCAUCCACCCCAGUCCGCAGUUGAAUAUGUUAUGAGAGAUGACUAGGAAGAAACGUGAAUAUGAAUACCAUAGUCGAUGGUGCUACGAAUAUAUCGAUGUAUGCGUUUGUGAGCAUUUAGGUGAUGCUCUCUACAAUCAUGUAUCUAGAGAUAGAUUUUCUAAAUAGCGAAGGAGAUAUAUGGUUUAGUAAAGGUAAGGUACUGCAUUGCACUAGCUAGACUACGAUAGAGGGAUGGAUCUGCAAUUGGUUUCCCAUCGGCAUUCAGCUUGUGAAUGGUUUCAACAGUCGUACGACAGGGAUUGCAUUUCAGCAUGUUUGCACGUUGAAGAAUGCCAAUGGCAUAAUUUUCUUGAGAAAGAAGCAGGUCAUGAGUGUCAUGAGUGGCCGAGAUCCCAAGAAAAUCAUUUAGUGGCCGGGAUCUAUCAUGGAAAACUCUUUUCUCAUAACAGAUAUGAUUUGUUGUAUAACAGUUGUGGAAGAUCUGGUAAGAAUGAUGUAAUCAACAUAAAGAAAAAGAUAAGUAGUGUGCUCAGCGAAGCGUUAUAUAAAGAGAGAAGGUUAUGUGCGGUUGUGAAUGAAACCAAUUUUGGAGACAUGAGCCAUAAAUCUAUGAUGCACUACUACAAAAUGAGUCUAAUGCAACAUUUCGUAAGCAACACUUAAAAAUUGUGUUGAUUUUGGUUCUAAACCAACGUUUCCAAAAUAAGUGUUGGAUUAUACAAUCUAAUACAACACUUAUUUUAAAGUGUUGGAUUUUUUAUUUACAAUACCAACAUUUAAAAAAAGUGUUGCAAUUAUUAACAUUUAAAACCAACACUUAUCUAAAAAUGUUGUUUUCUCAAUGAAAAUUCAACACUUAAUUAAAAGUGUUAUAUUCACAUAUUUUUUACAUAAAAACAUUUAGAACUAAAUUACUAAACUAUAUUAUUAAAAGAGAUUAACUAUAUAUUUAUAUACGAAUAUCAUUAAUAUAUUAAAUUUAUAUUAAAACAUAUAGUAAUUGCAAUAAAUAUAUAUAUAUAUAUAUAUAUAUAUANNNNNNNNNNNNNNNNNNNNNNNNNNAUAUACAUAUUAAUUAUUUGAAGUGAUUAAAUUUUAAAUUUUAAAUUAUAAAUUUAAUAAAGUUUAAUCUUAUAUAUAAUAUUUAUAAUUAUAAAUGACUAAUUGAUACAAGUUAAAAUUCAUUAUAUAUCAAAUUAAUUUAAAAUUACAACUAAUUAAAUAUUGAACUUUAAAUAAUUUUAAUUCUCUCCAUUAUUUUUAUUUCCCUCUAUUUAUUUUACUUAAUUUAAUUUAAUUGAGUUUUCAUCCUAUAAAUUUUAUAUAACUUGAGUUUAAUUUUACCUAAACACAAUUCCUUCCAUUGAAUUUAAUUAAAUUUAUUUUUUCUUAACUUAAUUUACUUAAUUUAAUGACUUAUACCCUAUUUUCCCCCAAAUUACACAACAGCGGCACCCGAUCCUAGUUUAUAUUCCCUCUUUGUUCAGCAACCAUUAUACGCCUAAAGACUCUAUCUAAUACUUACGAUCAGGCAACUAUACAUUGAUUGGCGAUUGGCAAAGGCGCUCUGUCACAGCACCAGCGUCUUUCUCUCUGUUAGUUUCCUCCGUCGUUCGUAAUUUUUUAAUUCUCUAUUACCCUUCCCAUAUUCCAAUAUUCUUAAAAUUUCUUUUCUAUUUGACCAGUAGUAUAAUGCGUAUGUGUAUGCAUGUUUAUAGUAUGCAAUAUGUAACUUAAAUGUUAUCGGUGCAUGUUUCUUUAAUUAUCAUGAGUAUCAAUUUUUCUUUCUUUGAUUUCCUUUAAAUUGUUCAGAGGUUAAAUUAAAAGUUCAUGCUUAUAAUUGUUCAUUGCUAAAUUUGUCUAUUUGCUCUAGUCUUCAAUCUGAGUUGGAUUCGUUGUGAUCCUUCGACUCUACUGUGGUUGUUGUCCAUUCUUAGAAACCAGUUUGGUUAAUUCCAAUAUCCAAUACACAAUUACAUAGUAAUAAUUCACCAAAAGGGCAUCGACAAAUUGUUAUGCUCUAGAUAUGAUACUUAUAAAUAACGACACAUUAGAUUCAAUAUUAGCUGGAUGAUUAUGUCAUCAAAGAGGACAGGCUCUUCCAGAAGGAAAUGGUUUCCCAAAACAAUCAAAAAACCCCUUCUCACUAACUUCUGGUCUAUCCAUAAUCUUUGCAACAGUACAAGACUAAAAUGACAUGAAAACCCCUAGACCUGUGACUUAUUCGUUUAUAAGAGAACUUUACAACUCAAUAUAUAGGAAUACUUGUAAUAAGAUUUUUACAAUACUACAAUAUAUAUGAAUGUUGAUUGUAUAAAGGAAAAGUCAUAUGUUUUCACAAUACACACACAUAAAGCACAAAAGUCAUCAAUAUUUGAUUACACAAAAGGACCACACAUUUAUACACCACGCAUAUACCCACAAAGGUGUUAGGAGUGGUAGCUUUAUACACAAGGUUAAAAUAUCCAGAAUAUAUAUUAUUAUUAUGGACAUGUGUUUUGAUAAUUUGAUAUUUUGGGGAUUUUGUGAUUGUGUUAAUGAGAUUAAUGUGAUUUUUAAAUGAAAAAAAUUUGUUUGAAAAUUUACGGUGUUACACCAAACCUUAAAAAUUAGGGUUUGCACUCUGGCCAAUUACAAUGUUCGUGCCUAACUCCCAAAAUUUUCGAAAUUGCCAUUUGGGUCCAAUUUUUCAAUCAAUUCACAUCCAAUGUCUAAAAUCAAAUAAAUUCUCAUACUUAGGGUUUAAAAUAAAAAUACCUCACUAUCCAGAUGUUACAUGUUAGCGGCCCCAACGAGGCCACUUGUUAAUAUUGUAAUGACAAGGGUCAUUGAAAGAUGAGCUUCCCCACUUACCUGCAAGACAUCAAGGAUGGCAAAGUGAAGCCAUCAUCAUCAGGUAUAUACACUAUUCAAACUAAUAACUCACAAUCUACUCUUUCUUAGGUCCUUGAUACAAGAUGUGGUUUUCAUAUUUGUUUUGAUUUGCAGGUGUGACAUCCCCAAAAUCUCGGCCAGAAAAGACCGAUUUUCAUUUAUGCUUUUAAAUAUUUUCAGAGUAAAUCCUUUUGAUUUGAAAGAGUUGCGGAAUUUGUUCCCAAAAACAAAACAUGAUAAAACAUUGUUUACCGAAGCAUUUCAUAAAAGAAAUGUAUUUUCAUUAUAAUCAAAACUCGGGGUGUCAUGUUCCGAUACAGACCGAUAAGCAUAAACGAAUACAUUACAAGUCAUAUAACAAAUAUAAACAUAUGCAGACUUGUAAACAAAACAACUUGAUGGUUCAUCCAUCUCAUGCCCUUCCGCCACUACCUGUAAUACAAUUUAAAACUGAGUGGGUCAGGCUUGGGAGCCUGGUGAGCAUAUAGGGUUUUCAACCCACAAUAAAUAUCAUAUUUAAUUUUCACCAACCAACAAUAACCCAAUUACCCAUUCCCGUUAUUCUCACUUUAAUGUCCCUAAAACAACUAACAUAAGGGACCUAGUCUAAGAAUAUUUCAUCGGGGCGACAACACAUGCUUCGGGGGUACCUCAGCAAUAUAAGUCAAAUAAGGCAACCAUGAGGGGGAUGGAGUACAGCGAAUGAACACCCAAGUUCAUUAACACCUACAGGUGGCGAACCUGCUAAUGUUUCCACAAGACUGUCUAGAAUAGCCAGUGGUCGUCAUCUAAACUCCGCUAGAUGACUCAAUCAAACAACAACGAGGCCUCUCAUCUGUUUAUUACACACCAACUGUCUACCCAUGUUCUACCCAACAUAUUAGUAGAUAAAAAUAUACAUUUGUAUACAUAGUUUAAAGAAAACCUGUAUAGCAUGCUUUAAUCAACACAUAUAUCACAUAACAGAUGAGGCACACACACACAUAACACAUAUCUCAUAAAGAAAUAAGCAGAUCUAUAAGAUAGAAGAGAGUGAAUACUCAUUCACACAUAACACAACCAAAUAUAUACACAUAGCACGUAUUUUUAUAUAAAAUACUUCGUAUUAUUGUAUUAGAAGAAAUAACUACACACUCACUUGAUCAGAAGAUGAUCGGACAGCACUACGGCUUAUAGAAGUAGUAAUCCACAGCAGAUCUGGAAGAUCUUCUCGAAAAUCGAACUUCUCGCGGGCAGAGCUUCGACUCGGGAACCGCACUUUUCGGGAUCUUCAGGAUCUCGGGACUUGCCUCGGGGCUAGAGUAUGAUACCGGGACUUCGGGGUAGCUUCGGGGGUUUUUGCACAGAGCUUCGACACGAAAACGAGAGGGAAUUGGCAAAAAUACCCGGAACCCUCGCAUCCUAUUUAUAGGAGGCUGGAGCCUCGGAGUACGCGGGGCGUACUGCGUUACGCGGGGCGUACUGCCCAAAACGUCAUUGCUUACGUAUCCGAAGUGCUCGAGUGCGAGUGUCGACAUCCCUCGGAGUACGCGGGGCGUACUCGAGUACGCGGGGCGUACCUCGGAUCAGAUCGGUGACUCCUUCGGAUAAUGCUUCCGAAUUUUGAAUUAAAAAUAAAUACAAAAUGAUUAAUAAACUUCGGAAAUUCAUAACUUCUUCAUACGAACUCCGUUUUCGACGUUCUUUAUAUCCACGCGAAGGUGAGACCACGCUCUACGACUUUCGUUUAGACUCCGUCGGCUAAUUUUGACUUUAUUUUUAUUAAUUAUUUUUAAUAGGCCGGGACAGAAACUUUCGUUAUAAAUUCAUAACUUCUUCGUUUGACGUCCGUUCUCGCCUAACUUUUUAUCGUUUCAAUACCAACAAUGAGAUCUUCGAUUCUCAUUUAGAUUGCUUCGGCUAACAACCGCUCGAUCUCAAAUCGAGUAAAACAGGCUGUAUAUCGCUAAGCCGGAACUUCGAUAAAUCAUAACUUCCUCAUACGAAGUCAGAUUUGGGCGUUCUAUAUAUAUUCGGAAACCUCGUUUCAACUACUACAACAUUAACCAAAGAUAUUAAGUUUAUUUUACACUUAAAUUUUGACGCUUAUUUUUAUUCUUAAUUAAUCAAACCACAUAAUUAAGCAAUUAAGCACAAAACACAUAAUACUCAAAUAAUACAAUCUUAUUAUUUCAAAACGGGUUACAAAGGUUAACCUAGACUAUUACAUUGCUAAAAAUGGCAAGCCCGGAAACACAGGCGUUACAAUUCUCUCCACCUUAGAAUGAUUCCGUCCCCGGAAUCACACAUCAACAAACAAAUGCGGAUAGCGACUCAACAUGUCACUCUCCGUCUCCCAGGUGAGAUUCGGCCCAUUCGUGUGUUUCCAUCGGACAAGCACUAACCCAACCAUUUUGCGUCGCAACUUCUUAGUCUUUCGGUCAACAAUUGCCUCUGGUUCUUCAAUCAACCUUUUGUUCUCAUCAAUUCUCAAUUCAGAAAUUGGAAUUAUAUCGGGAACUUCUCCCGUGAACUUCCUCAAAUAACACACAUGAAAGGUGUUGUGAAUUCCAUUCAGUUCUUCGGGUAAUUCGAGCUUGUAAGCUUGAUUCCCAAUCCUCUGAAGGACUUUAAACGGUCCAAUAAACCUUGGACUCAACUUUCCCCUUUUACCAAAUCUUAUAAGUCCCUUCCACGGCGAGACUUUAAGCAAAACCGAAUCUCCAACCUCAAAAGUCAUCGGUCUUCGCUUCUUGUCAGCAUAGCUCUUUUGACGAUCUUGAGCUGCUAACAUUCUUUCCCUAAUUAUUUUCAACUUUUCAGCAGUUUGAUGAACCAUCUCCGGUCCCAUAAACUGCUUUUCCCCAGCCUCAAGCCAACAAGACGGCGUACGACACUUCUGUCCAUACAAAGCUUGAUAAGGUGCCAUCUUAAUGCUCGAGUGAAAACUAUUAUUAUAGGAAAAUUCUACCAACGGUAAAUGUUCAUCCCAAUUACCUAGGAAUUCCAAGGUACAUGCUCUCAGCAUAUCUUCAAGUGUUUGUAUUGUUCUUUCACUCUGACCAUCAGUCUGCGGAUGGUAAGCUGUGCUUAAACAUAACUUGGUACCCAUUUCCUCUUGUAGACUUUUCCAAAACCUUGAGGUGAAACGGCUAUCACGAUCCGAUACAAUCGUUAACGGAACACCGUGAAGCCUCACAAUUUCCUUCACGUAAGAAUUCGCAAGCUUUUCCAUAGACCAUUUCUCCCUGGCCGCUAUGAAAUGCGCACUCUUAGUGAAUCGAUCAACGACCACCCAAAUCAUGUCGUGACCAUUCUUUGUUCUGGGCAGUUUAGUGACAAAAUCCAUAGCAAUGUCUUCCCACUUACCCAUAGGCACAGGCAAUGGUUCUAAACUCCCGUAAGGUUUCUGAUGUUGUGUCUUGACUCUCGCACAAGUCACACACUCGGCCACAUACUUUGCAACAUCAAGCUUCAUCGUCGGCCACCAGUAGUAGGGUUUCAGGUCCCUAUACAUUUUAGUGCUACCCGGAUGAAUUGAGUACAUGGUUUUGUGAGCUUCUUCCAUCAGAAGAUCCCUAAUUCCUCCUGACUUAGGUACCCAAAUACGAUCUUGGAAUACCUUCAGUCCAUGACCGUUAGUACCAAACACCAACGUUUUACCCAAACGUUCCUCCUUUCGGUCAUUUUUCUCAGAAGCUUCCUCUUGAGCUUUCUUUAUACUUUCCACAAUAGUCGAGACAACUUCAAUUCUCAACGCUCUUGGCCUCUUCCUUUCAAGAUUGACUUUCCGACUGAGAGCAUCAGCAACAACAUUAGCUUUACCGGGGUGGUAAAGUAUCUCGCAGUCGUAGUCUUUAAGUAAUUCUAGCCAGCGUCGUUGCCUCAUAUUCAAUUCUUUCUGAUUAAAGAGGUAUUGGAGACUCUUAUGAUCAGUGAAAAGUUUGCACUUCGUGCCAUAGAGGUAAUGCCUCCAUAUUUUCAGAGCGAAAACUACCGCUGCCAACUCCAAAUCAUGAGUCGGGUAAUUCUUUUCAUGCUCUUUCAGCUGUCGAGACGCAUAUGCUAUCACCUUUUCUCUUUGGGUCAAAACACAACCCAAUCCAACACCAGACGCAUCGCUAUAAACAGCGAAGUCUUCAACUCCAUCGGGUAGAGAAAGUAUCGGUGCCUCGCAUAGCUUCUUCUUUAACUUCUCGAAUGCUUCUUUAUGCUUCUCACUCCAAGCAUAAGUAGCUCCUUUGUGGGUCAAAGCUGUUAAUGGAGUAGCAAUCGAAGAAAAGCCUUGGAUAAACCUUCGGUAAUAUCCGGCUAAUCCUAAAAAGCUUCGAAUCUCCGUGGGACUUUUCGGUUGUUCCCACUUCGUCACAGCUUCGAUCUUCGCUGGAUCAACCAUUAUCCCUUCUUGGUUGACCACGUGACCCAAGAAUUGGACCUCACGAAUCCAAAAAUCACAUUUGGAGAACUUCGCAUAAAGCUUCUCCUUCUUCAAAACUUCUAACACUUCUCGCAAGUGUCUGCCAUGCUCCUCCUGGCUUUUCGAGUAGAUCAGAAUGUCGUCUAUGAACACUAUCACGGAUUUAUCAAGGAAAGGAUUACAAACCCUAUUCAUCAAAUCCAUGAACGCUGCUGGAGCAUUGGUUAGUCCAAACGACAUAACCAAGAACUCGUAGUGUCCAUAUCUAGUUCUGAAUGCAGUCUUCUCGAUAUCUUGCUCUCUUACUUUCAGCUGAUGAUAUCCUGACCUAAGAUCGAUCUUCGAGAAAUAGCUCGAACCUUGCAAUUGAUCAAACAGGUCAUCAAUCCUCGGCAACGGAUAUCUAUUCUUUAUUGUUGCCUUGUUCAGCUCUCUGUAAUCGAUGCACAUUCUCAUACUUCCAUCUUUCUUCUUUACAAAUAACACCGGAGCUCCCCAGGGCGAUGAACUAGGUCUAAUGAAACCUUUGUCCAAUAACUCCUGAAGUUGCAUCAUCAGCUCCUUCAUCUCCGUCGGUGCUAAUCGAUAAGGUGCUUUUGCUAUUGGCGUGGUUCCUGGUAACAAGUCUAUUCUGAACUCCACUUGUCUAUCAGGUGGUAAUCCAGGAAGAUCCUCGGGAAAUACUUCCGGAUAAUCACACACCACUGGAAUGCUCUGCAUCACCUUCUUUUCUUUCUUAGCAUCAAUCACGAAUGCUAAAUAUGAUGUACAUCCCUUGGUCAAACACUUUCUGGCUUUCAUUAGAGAAAUGAUUCCAGAAUUCACUCUGCGUUUGUCCCCAUACACCAUAAACGAAUCUUUCCCAGGCGGGUUUACUUUAACUAUCUUCUUCUUGCACAAAAUUUCGGCAUCAUUGGCGCUAAGCCAAUCCAUUCCCAAGACGAUGUCGAAACCAUUUAGUUCGAUAGGCAAUAAUUCCUCGAGAAACUUAUUCCCAUUAAGGUCGAUCAAGACGUUUUUCAUACGAUGGCUAACAGGUACAAACUUGCCACUAGCUACUUCGACUAAUAAAGCAUUAUCUAGUCUAUCAACAGGCAAAGCUAGCUUUCUACCAAACUCAUGCGAAAUAAAGGAGUAGUUGGCUCCAGAAUCAAACAAUAUAUGAGCAGGUAAUUCGUUUACGAGAAAGGUACCUGAAGCGACAUCAGCUUCAUCUUUCGCAGCCUCAAGUGUCAUCUGGAAGGCUCUCGCCUUCGGCUUUGGUGGAAUGUUGGGCCUAGCUGCCUCCUUCUUCUUCGGACAGUCUUUCAAAAUAUGCCCCUCUUCAUUACACCCAAAACACAUCCUUUUGUUGUUCGGACAUUCAUUGGCAAAAUGUCCAACCUUUCCACACUUGUAGCAGGUCACAUCCUCGCUACAUUUCCCAAAGUGCUUUUUCUUACACUUAUCACACCACUUUGCUUCGCCUCCUUUUCCUCCAAACUUUUUCGAAUCAGAUUUCGAAAAUUUGCUCUUCUUACUGGAACCAGAUGUUCCUUCAAACUUCCUUUUCUCACCAACCUCAACCUUGACGGUGGUUCUCCCCUUGAUCAUGUUCUCCACAGACUUGGCAGCCCAGAUAGCUGCCUCUAGAGUAAGUGCCUGACGUACCGGCACCUCGUACUCCCAUGGAAGUCCCUUCGCAUACCGAUCCACCUUUGUCAGCUCGUCUGGAACGAUACGCAAGGCAAACUCCAUCUUAUCGGUGAAGUUAUUGGUGUACUCAUCCACUGACAUGCUACCCUUCGUCAAUGUCAAAAACUUGUUCUCCAACUCCAACAGAUUUUGAGCCGAGCAGAACUUGCGCUUGAACUGCACCAAGAACUCUGCCCAUGACAAUUGCAGUGGCUCAUUAGGGCUUAAGGUCUUCCCUAGAGUGUUCCACCAACGAACGGCUCCACCUCGGAAUUGUCGCACGGCAUAGAUAGUCUGCAACUUGCCUCUACAGCCACAUGUCAUAAAGGCUAACUCCAUUUCGGAGAUCCAAUCCAUAACCCCAAUCGGAUCCUCCUUUCCAUUGAAGGUCGAUGGUUUACAAGUCAAAAAGUCCUUGUACUUGCAUCCCAUUCCAUCAUUCCUUCCAUCAUGGUUAUCUUGCCUAACUAUCGGUGGGUUGGCUGGACCAACAGACCCACUGAAGUUUCCACCUUCCGAGUGCCCUUCAUUCAGUUCAGGCUCUUCCACACGAAUCGACAGUUCUUCACGAUUUUGUUGAAGCAACCGUCUAGUUUCAUCCAUCUGACGAUCCAACAUCGUCUGAAUCAUCAAUUGCACACCAGCCAUGGUUAUUGGCUCAGGUGCUGCUGCUACGACAGGUAUUGGCUCAAUCACUGGUGGUUGAUUCCUGUUUUCGUCAGCAUUUCCAACUCCACUUCUUGUUCUCACCAUUUUGAUCUACACCGAAUAAGGUGAAAUUAGAUCCUCAAUCAUGAUAGAUAUUCAAAUCAUCCUUAUCACUCCGAAACGUUUACAUGCUAGUUCUAAUAUCGUAGACGUACGCUUAGAAUCCUACACACAUAAGGUUUCUAGAUCCGGUCGGCAACAGACCAUAGAUCCGAACAAAUAAUAUCAUAUAUGGCAACAUAUAACAUUUAGCACAUAAAGCAUUUUAGGCAACUUUCCUAAAAUAAACUAGUGCUCGUGUCUAAAUCACAACAGACACACAUCUCAAAACUUCACUUAGCAUUCUAAGUUUAAGUCUAGAAAUCCUACAAAUUCCUAGUUCGCUUAAACUAAUGCUCUGAUACCAACUGUGACAUCCCCAAAAUCUCGGCCAGAAAAGACCGAUUUUCAUUUAUGCUUUUAAAUAUUUUCAGAGUAAAUCCUUUUGAUUUGAAAGAGUUGCGGAAUUUGUUCCCAAAAACAAAACAUGAUAAAACAUUGUUUACCGAAGCAUUUCAUAAAAGAAAUGUAUUUUCAUUAUAAUCAAAACUCGGGGUGUCAUGUUCCGAUACAGACCAAUAAGCAUAAACGAAUACAUUACAAGUCAUAUAACAAAUAUAAACAUAUGCAGACUUGUAAACAAAACAACUUGAUGGUUCAUCCAUCUCAUGCCCUUCCGCCACUACCUGUAAUACAAUUUAAAACUGAGUGGGUCAGGCUUGGGAGCCUGGUGAGCAUAUAGGGUUUUCAACCCACAAUAAAUAUCAUAUUUAAUUUUCACCAACCAACAAUAACCCAAUUACCCAUUCCCGUUAUUCUCACUUUAAUGUCCCUAAAACAACUAACAUAAGGGACCUAGUCUAAGAAUAUUUCAUCGGGGCGACAACACAUGCUUCGGGGGUACCUCAGCAAUAUAAGUCAAAUAAGGCAACCAUGAGGGGGAUGGAGUACAGCGAAUGAACACCCAAGUUCAUUAACACCUACAGGUGGCGAACCUGCUAAUGUUUCCACAAGACUGUCUAGAAUAGCCAGUGGUCGUCAUCUAAACUCCGCUAGAUGACUCAAUCAAACAACAACGAGGCCUCUCAUCUGUUUAUUACACACCAACUGUCUACCCAUGUUCUACCCAACAUAUUAGUAGAUAAAAAUAUACAUUUGUAUACAUAGUUUAAAGAAAACCUGUAUAGCAUGCUUUAAUCAACACAUAUAUCACAUAACAGAUGAGGCACACACACACAUAACACAUAUCUCAUAAAGAAAUAAGCAGAUCUAUAAGAUAGAAGAGAGUGAAUACUCAUUCACACAUAACACAACCAAAUAUAUACACAUAGCACGUAUUUUUAUAUAAAAUACUUCGUAUUAUUGUAUUAGAAGAAAUAACUACACACUCACUUGAUCAGAAGAUGAUCGGACAGCACUACGGCUUAUAGAAGUAGUAAUCCACAGCAGAUCUGGAAGAUCUCCUCGAAAAUCGAACUUCUCGCGGGCAGAGCUUCGACUCGGGAACCGCACUUUUCGGGAUCUUCGGGAUCUCGGGACUUGCCUCGGGGCUAGAGUAUAAUACCGGGGCUUCGGGAUAGCUUCGGCACGAAAAACGAUGCAAAAGACUAGAGAGAAGAGAAGAAAAUGAACAACAAAGAAGGCUGUCUUCGGAUCCUUUAUAUAGAGGCUGGAGCCUCGGAGUACGCGGGGCGUACAGGCGUACGCAGCGCGUACGCGUCCGAAAUCGUCAUUGCAUGCGUCAUCCGAAGUGUCGACACUAUGCUGAGUACGCGGUAGCGUAACCUCGUACGCGGGGCGUACUCCGGAUCACACCGGUGACUCGGCUUCGGAUAAUGCUUCCGAUUUUGAAUUAAAAAUAAAUAUAAAAUGAUUAAUAAACUUCGGAAAUUCAUAACUUCUUCAUACGAACUCCGUUUUCGACGUUCUUUAUAUCCACGCGAAGGUGAGACCAUGCUCUACGACUUUUGUUUAGACUCCGUCGGCUAAUUUUGACUUUAUUUUUAUUAAUUAUUUUUAAUAGGCCGGGACAGAAACUUUCGUUAUAAAUUCAUAACUUCUUCGUUUGACGUCCGUUCUCGCCUAACUUUUUAUCGUUUCAAUACCAACAAUGAGAUCUUCGAUUCUCAUUUAGAUUGCUUCGGCUAACAACCGCUCGAUCUCAAAUCGAGUAAAACAGGCUGUAUAUCGCUAAGCCGGAACUUCGAUAAAUCAUAACUUCCUCAUACGAAGUCAGAUUUGGGCGUUCUAUAUAUAUUCGGAAACCUCGUUUCAACUACUACAACAUUAACCAAAUAUAUUAAGUUUAUUUUACACUUAAAUUUUGACGCUUAUUUUUAUUCUUAAUUAAUCAAACCACAUAAUUAAGCAAUUAAGCACAAAACACACAAUACUCAAAUAAUACACUUUUAUUAUUUCAAAACGGGUUACAAAGGUUAACCUAGACUAUUACAUUGCUACAAAUGGCAAGCCCGAAACACAGGCGUUACAGCAGGGACUAAAAGAAAGUGAAGAGGUCGAGCAUGGGAGAAUGAAUCUGAUCAUGGGAAAUCGAUGAUCUUCUCAUGUUACCAAGAUUGGGACUUAUCAUCCUAUGCUUAGUAGUGAAGUUAGUUUAGAUUUUAUAGAUUGUUGAUAUUCCUCAUAAAUGACGCGAAACAUUAUUUCAUUCCAUGCAUUGUUCAGACAAGGUUUCAUUACUCUUUUAAUGAUUUGAAUGGUUCAAUUCUAGUUUAUAAAAAUGGUGUUUUAUAUUUGAAGCUUUACCUUGUAAUGGUGUGUAUGAAAUUGUGAUUUGUGUUGAUAACUUAGGCAAUAAUGUAUUUCACAAUGAUCUGUCUAAUCGUUUGGACAAGGCAUGCUUGUGGCAUUGUCGUUUUGGGCACAUUAACAAGAAAACAUCGCCCAACUCCAAAAUGAUAGAGUCUUGGAAUCAUGUGACCUAAGGCUAAACGAUGAAUGUGAAUCAUGUCUUUUGGGCAAGAUGAUAAAAUCACCUUUCAGUGGAUCUUGUGAAAGAGGGGAAGGUUUAAUGGAUCUCAUACAGACAGAUGUGUGUGGACCCUUCAGAUCCACCACAAGGGAUGUUAAUCGAUUUUAUGUAACAUUUACGGAUGAUUAUAGUAGAUAUGGUUAUAUCUAUUUGAUCAAACACAAAAUCAGAAACCUUUGAAAAGUUUAAAGAGUUUAAAAAUGAAGUCGAGAAUCAAUUAGGAAGUAAGAUAAAGAUGCUCUGAUCUGAUAGAGGAUGAAAAUAUCUUAGUAUCAAGUUCCAUGACUACCUUAAGGAAUGUGGAAUAGUUUCACAACUGACUCCUCCUAGAACACCAUAGCUUAAUGGUGUGGCUGAGAGACGUAAUCAGACCUUGUUGGACAUGGUUUGUUCCAUAUGAGUCGAUCCACUCUUCCCAUUUCCCUAUGGGGGUAUGCCUUAGAGAUAGUCGCUCGUAUCCUAAAUCUUGUCUUAACUAAAAAGGUUGCCAAAACAACUCACAAGAUGUGGAAAGGGAAAGUUCCCUCGUUAGCACAUAUCAAAGUCUGGGGUUGUGAAACUUUUGUUAGACGAGAGACUCAUGACAAGCUAGAAGCCAGAUUUGAGAGAUGUAUUUUCAUUUUCUACCCACAAAAGUCCUUUGGAUAUUUUUUCCACAAACCUAUUGAAAAUGUGUUCUUUGUAGCAUGGAGAGGAGUCUUUCGUGACAGAGCUCGUACACAAAGAGGAUAGUGGGAGCACGAUUAAGAGAUUCAAGAGUCAACCAAUGAAGGAACCUUUGAAGGCACCAGCGUUCAACCAAAGGAAGAAAUUCCAGUUGAGCUAGUUGACACUUCAUUUCCUCUUCUUCGUUUCAGUAGAGUUAGCAUGCCACCUCAGUUUUAUGGUUUCCAUAUAACUACAAAAGGUGAUAUGUUUAUUAGUGAUCGUACAUUGGUGAAUUUGUAAGAACCAACUAACUAUAAGGAAACAAUGGCAAGCUCUGAGGCUGCUAAAUGGAAAGAGGCAAUGGACAGCGGGAUCAAGUCCAUGUAUGACAACAAACUUUGGAUUUUGGCUGAUCAAGAACCUAGUCGAAAGACGGUUGGUUACAAAUGGAUCUUCAAGAAGAAGGCGAAAAUGGAUGGGAAUAUGCACACAUUCAAGGCACGACUGGUUGCGAAGGGAUUUACUUGAAUCCCAAUGAUUGACUAUGAUGAGACCUUCUCACCAGUUGCUAAGACAAGAUCUAUUAGGAUAAUGCUCGCUAUAGUUGUCUUUCAUGAUUAUGAAAUUUGGUAGAUGGAUGUCAAAACCGCUUUCCUUAAUGGGAAGUUGGCUGAAGAUGUUUACAUGAGUCAGCCAGAGGGUUUCGUUGAUGCAAAGUUUCCUAAUAUAGUGUGUAAGCUUGAGAAAUCCAUCUAUGGAUUAAAACAAGCAUCUUGCAGCUGGAAUCUUUGCUUCCAUGAGAAAUUCAAAGAAUUCGGUUUAUCUAGAAGUGAAGAUGAGUCCUAUUUGUAUGUCACAGCUAGUGGGAAUAUAGUAACUUUUCUAGUAUUGUAUGUUGAUGACAUACUAAUUAUAGGAAACGACGUUCCAACCUUGCAAGAAGUUAAAUCUUGGCUUGGAAGUGUUUCACUGUGAAGGUUCUAGGAGUAGCUGCCUAUAUUCUCGGGAUAAGAAUUUUAAGAGAUAGAAAGAAAAGACUAAUUGGACUUGGUCAAAGUACAUACUUAGACAAGGUACUAAAACGGUUUAGUAUGGAAAAUUCCAAGAAAGGAGAGCUACCUAUUCAAAGCAAUGCCAAGUUGGGUAAGACUCAAAUCCCAAGUACGGAUGAAGAGAUAGCUAAUAUGAGUUGAGUCCCUUAUGUUUCGGCUGUAGGUUCGAUCAUGUAUGCUAUGACAUGUAGUCGCCCUGAUUUGUCCUUUGGUUUAAGCAUGGUCAAUCGCUAUCAUGGAAAUCAUGGCAGAGCUCACUGGACAUCAGUAAAGAACAUUCUUAAGUAUUUAUGAAAAAGGAUAUGAUUCUAUUUUUUUGGAGGCGGUGAUACGUUGAGAGUGACUGGGUAUAGUGAUGCCAACUUUCAAACAAAUUGAGACAACUUUCGUUCUUAAUAUGGUUGGGUGUUCAUAUUAAAUAGUGGAGCGGUUACUUGGAAAAGUUCCAAGCAAGAUACAAUGGCUAAUUCUACUUGCGAAUCAUAUUACAUAGCAGCAAGUGAAGCAUCAAAGGAAGAAUCUUGGUUGAGGAACUUCAUCAGAGAUCUUGGAGUAGUUCCAACCAUUCAGGAACCAAUGAAACUUUUUCUGCGAUAAUGAAGGAGUAGUUGCUUUGACUAAAGAACCGAGAGACCAUGGCAAAUCAAGACAUAUCGAUAGAAAGUAUCAUUAUAUCAGAUAUAUAAAUGAAGAAGUUCAUUUCAUAGUGAAUAGACUUUUAUCAGAAGAUAAUCCUGCAGAUCCUCUCACAGAGGCUCUGAGUAGGAUUAAACAUAAUCAGCAGGCUAGGAGCAUUGGGUUAAGAGGUGAUAUUAGUUUUAGUAGUUAGAUAAUUAGUUUGAAACUUGUAACAAAAUAAAUGUAAUUGAUUUUUGGUGAUUAGAUAAUAGAGAUUAUUUAUAAGUUUGUUACUGCCUUUAUCAAUUAUUUAUUCUUGUGUUUUGUUUUGCAUGUUUUACUUCUCGAAUAAUUUAAUUAUUCAAAUUCCACAGUCACUCAUACUUUGAGAAGUAAGUAGUGAAUUAAGAAUGUCAUGAAUUGGAUUAUAAAUUGUCUAAGCCAAUAACUGAAUUAGUAUAUACUUGAAUUAUUAGCAAAGUCCUUUUGGAUUGCCAUUGAAUUAGGGCUAUCUAGAGUUUCCUAAUUAUUAGUUAGAUAAUUACCCAUUUGAAUUAAUAUUAGUUUAUUUAAAUUAGGGUUAUCUAGGGUUUCCUAAUUCAAGUAAAAAAGACCCUAUGAGCUACAAUUUUCGGCCACUCCUUUUCUAAGAGCCAAGGCCGAAAUUUUGAUCUGCUCUCUCCUUUCUAUUCAAGUCUCCUAGUUGCUAGUGUUUGGUGUAAACCAUCAGAGGCAUGAGAUUAAUGGUGCUGGUUUCCAAGUAAUUACUAGAAGGAUUGGUUGAUUGUUUACUAUAACGAUCAAGAGGUAUGUUUUCCUCUAUAACUUUCGAAAUUAACUAGGGAUGUAAGCAGUGUUCUAAAAGGCGCGCCAUGGCGCGCGCCAAGGCGUACCAUGGUGUGAGGCAAGGCUACGCCGUAACGAAAAGCCUCAUAACAUUGAUGUUAGGAGUGACGCAUGACAAGUCAUGAUAUGGCGUGUUAUGGCGCGUGUUUUUUCAUUUGAGACACUUUUUUAGCUCUUUGUUAUGUUUAUUCUAAUCAGGGAUACAAGUAUUGUGUUAUUUGUUAACUUUUUGUUAUUAGUUAUUAAUAUAACACUUCUAAAAAGUAGUUAUAUUUAAUAUAAAUUUAUAUUUAUGUGGUAAUAUAAUUAUAAAUUAAUACAAAAUUGGCGCCUUACAUCACGCCUUGAAAAACGUCAUGGCUCAUUAAGCUUAAGGUUUGGCCUUGCUGCCACGCCACGCCUCACGCCAUUUAGAACCUUGGAUGUAGGGUUCUUGUUGUUCAAUAGAAUGUUAUUUCAAUAGAUUUAUGACUAAAUCUGAUAGGUUGCAUAUACCCUUAAGAGUAUAAGGAUUUAUCCGCAUUAUUGCAUGUAAAAUCCAUCAAUUUUCACCUUGCUUUGGGGCUCAAAGUAAAUUUUGCCAAAAGUAAGGUAUACUGUAACAUCCCAAUUUUAGAGACCAAUUUUUUUUUAAUUAUGUUAUUCAUAAAACAGUUUACUUAAAAACAACAUCGAUAUCAUAUCAAUCCAUAAACAAUAAUCACAAGUCUCAAAAAUCAUAUCAUCAAUAGUAAUAAUGUCAGAGUACAAUCCCAUGGAUCUCAAAAUGCGGAAUCAUGUGUGUGCGAUGCGCUGCUACCGUGUCGGCUCCUUCCCCCUCGACGAAGAGCUACCAUAAACCAAAACUGAAAACCGUAAGCACAAAGCUUAGUGAGUUCCCCCACAUACCACAUAACAUACAACAACAUACUACCAGGCAAUUCUGGGGUGCCCGAUCUGCCCAUGUCAAGCAGUUUUGGGGUGCUGACCAACCAUGCCAGGCGAUUCUGGGGUUCCCGACCUACCCAUGUCAAGCUGUUUUGGGGUGCUGACCUACCCAUGUCAAGCAGUUCUAGGGUGUUGACCUACCCUCCGGUUUAUACCAACCGGCUCUGGGGACUAUUUCACCUCAUACUACUACCACACAAAACAUAGCAUAAACAUACUGUCAGGCAUAUCUGGGGUGUCCGACCUACCCUUUGGUCCUAACAACCGAACUUGGGGACUACUCCCCUCCUACUACUGUAACGUCCGUAGAUCCGGGCUAGUCAAUUUAGAGAUAAUAAGGGUCGAAAACGACUUUUUUACAAAAGAUUAUUUAGAAUAAAUAAUCUUAACCAAUCUUUAUAAUAUGUCUCAAGGGUUCCGUACAUAUAAAGAACACCGAAAUCUGAGUUAUAAGGAAGAAGUUAUGGCCCGUCGAAGUUUUACGGCAAAACCAGCAUGGCACCGGGAGACGUAAAUAGUGAAUUUUUGAUAAAGGACUUUUUAGCCUUGUCGAUCCAAAUAAAAGUUGUAGUAUAUGUUAAACCGAGAACAUACAAAAAAAGAACGCCCAAAUCUGACUUCAUAUGAGGAAGUUAUGAAUUUUAUAAUCUUUGGUAUAGCAGUGCACGACCCGAAACUCGAAUUUUAGUUCGAGCGGUUUUUGGCCUACGCGACCUAAAUGAGAAUUGAAUAUCUCAUUAAUAGGAACUCAAUGGUAAAAAGACAGACGAAAACAGAGUCCGUAUGUAGAAGUUAUGAAUUUUACGCGGACAUUUAACAGUAUAAUCUCCCCGUACUGUUAAAUUUAAGAUCGGUUAAUAAUUAGCCGACGGAACUUUUCCUGCUUGGAACUUUUCCAAGUUACUGCUCCUCCAUUAAGGGUAACGACCCAGCCCGACUGCGAAUGGUAGUUGUCUCUGUCGGUCUGGAAACUAGCGUCACUAUACCCUCGCACCUUUAAGUCAUCACUCCCUCCGAGGACCAGAAACCAUUCCUUGGUUCUCCGGAGGUACUUAAGGAUGUUCUUGACUGCAAUCCAAUGCGCUUUGCCAGGGUUCCCUUGAUAUCUACUGACCAUGCUCAAAGCAAAAGCUACAUCAGGGCGAGUACAAGUCAUAGCAUACAUGAUUGAGCCAACUACGGAAGUGUAAGGUACUCGGCUCGUCUCUACUAUCUCGGCUUCGGUACUCGGACUUUGAGUCUUACUCAACUUGGCAUUACUUUGUAUCGGUAGUUCUCCCUUCUUCGAGUUUUCCAUACUAAAACGUUUUAGUACUUUUUCUAAGUAAGUAUUCUGACUAAGUCCUAUUAGUCUCUUACUUCUUUCUCUCACUAUCCUUAUUCCCAAAAUAUAAGAAGCCUCUCCGAGGUCCUUCAUAGCGAAGCACUUCCCGAGCCAGGACUUAACCUGCUGCAGUGUCGGGACGUCGUUUCCUAUGAGUAGUAUGUCAUCGACAUACAGAACGAGGAAGCUUACUAUACUCCCACUGGCUUUGACAUAUACACAUGAUUCAUCUUCGCUUUGUACAAAUCCAAACUCUUUGACUUUCUCAUCGAAGCAAAGAUUCCAUCUGCGAGACGCUUGCUUAAGUCCAUAAAUGGACUUCUCAAGCUUACACACUCUAUUCGGAUGCUUCGGAUCGACAAAACCCUCUGGCUGAGCCAUGUAAACAUCCUCAGCCAACUUCCCAUUAAGGAAAGCGGUCUUGACAUCCAUUUGCCAUAUCUCAUAAUCAUGAAAUGCAGCAAUGGCUAGCAUCACCCUAAUAGACUUAAUUUUCGCAACUGGUGAGAAGGUCUCAUCAUAGUCAACUCCGGGAGUUUGAGUAAAGCCCUUCGCCACCAAUCGUGCCUUAUAAGUGUGUACAUUCCCAUCCACAUCGGUCUUCUUCUUGAAUAUCCAUUUGCACCCAACCGUCUUACUUCCAAGUACAUUGUCAACCAAAUUCCAAACUUGGUUGUCAUACAUGGACUGAAUCUCGCUGUCUAUCGCCUCUUUCCAUUUCCCAGGCUCUGGGCCUAUCAUGGCUUCCUUAUAGCUAUUAGGUUCAUCUAGAUUUAUUAGUGUACCAUCACUAAUAUACGUGUCCCCUUCGGUAGUAAUAUGAAAACCAUAAAACUGGGGUUGAACUGUAACUCUUUCGGAACGUCUAAAAGGUAAGGACUUGUCAAUCGGUUCAACCGGAGUUUCCUCCUCGGGUUGAGUGCCAGCGGUAGAGGUUCCUUCAUCUAUCGACUCUUGAAUCUCUUCAAGCUCGAUUUGCCUCCCACUGUCUCCUUGGCUUAUGAGUUCUCGCUCUCGGAAAACUCCUCUCCUCGCAACGAAGACAACAUUGUCCUUCGGUCUAUAGAAGAGAUAUCCAAAGGAUUUCUGCGGGUAGCCGAUGAAAAUACAUCGCUCACUACGAGGUUCGAGCUUGUCAUGAGUUUCUCGUCUUACGAAAACUUCACAACCCCAAACCUUGAUAUGUGCCAACGAGGGAGCUUUCCCUGUCCACAUCUCGUGAGGUGUUUUGGCAACCUUCUUUGUAGGGACUCGGUUAAGGAUAUGGGCGGCAGUCUCUAAGGCAUACCCCCAGAAUGAGAUAGGUAGUGAAGCACGACUCAUCAUAGAGCGAACCAUGUCUAACAAGGUUCGAUUACGCCUUUCUGCCACACCAUUCAACUGCGGUGUCCUAGGUGGCGUCAAUUGUGAAACUAUUCCACACUCCUUGAGAUAGUCGUGGAAUUCAAGACUUAGGUACUCUCCUCCUCGAUCGGAUCGAAGCAUCUUGAUUUUCCUGCCCAAUUGAUUCUCCACUUCAUUCUUGAACUCUUUGAACUUUUCAAACGUUUCAGACUUGUGCUUGAUUAAGUAAAUAUACCCAUAUCUACUAUAAUCAUCGGUGAAAGUCACGUAGAAGCGGUUUCCAUCCUUUGUGGUGGAUCUAAAGGGCCCACAUACAUCGGUAUGUAUGAGAUCCAAUAAACCCUCACCCCUCUCACAAGUGCCAGUGAAGGGUGACUUGGUCAUCUUUCCAAGUAAACAAGAUUCGCACGUGUCAUCUUCCCUAAGGUCGAAUGACUCCAACACUCCAUCCUUUUGGAGUUGGGCUAUGCGCUUCUUGUUGACAUGUCCAAGACGACAAUGCCACAAAGAUGCUUUAUCCAUACUAUUGGAAGAAUCCAUGCAUAAAACAUCAUUUCCUAGGUUAUCUACAAUCAUAACAGUUUCAUAAAUUCCAUUACAUGGUAUUGCUUCAAAAUAUAAGACACCAUUUAGAUAAGCAUAAAUAGAACCAUUCUCAUUAUUAAAAGAAAAUCUAAAUCCUUGUCUAAACAAACCAUGAAAUGAAAUGAUGUUUCUUGCCAUAUCUGGCGAGUAGCAACAAUUAUUUAAAUCUAAACCUAAUCCUUUACUAAGCACUAAAGAAUACACUCCAAUCUUGGUGACAGGAGACGAUCUUCUGUUUCCCAUGAUUAGAUUUAUUCUUCCAUGCUCCACAUCCCUAUUUCUUCUUAGUCCCUGCAAUUCAGAACAAAUGUGGUAACCACACCCGGUAUCAAGAACCCAAGAAAUAGCAUGAGAUGAAUCAUUAGAUUUAAUUGUGUAAAUACCUGCGAAAGACGGCUUGAUCUUUCCAUCCUUGAUGGCUUGCAGAUAUUCCGNCUUCUCUUCCAAUGCCCUAUUUUGUGGCAAUGAUGGCACUCUGCCUCCUUCGGGUUAGGGUUAGGCUUAGCGGGAUCAACCUUGGUCCCACUAGAAGAGGAACCAUCUUGGGACUUUCCCUUACGGUGGCUAUUUGACGGAGCCUUCCUCUUCUAGCCCCUUCCUUGCCCUAUUGCCAAAACAAGAGCAGCGGUUGGUGCAGGAGUUGGUGCAACAAACUUCUCCUUGAGGUUGCUCUCAGCGGUCCUUAGGAGUCCUUGGAGUUUGCUUAGGGUGACCUCUUCCUUGUUCAUGUGGUAGGUCAUCCUAAAUUGAUUUUAGCAUGAGGCAAGGAGUGAAGAACAAUGUCGAUAGCCAAAUCCUCCCCAAAGUUAACAUUUAACUUGCGAAGACGAUCAACAUAUCUUUGCAUCUUUUGCAAGUGCACGGUUAACGAUUCUCCACUUCCCAUCUUGGCGGUGAUCAUGUUGGUGAUGAUCUCAUAGCGAUAUUGCCUCGCGCUUUGGUGGUACUUCUCCAUUAAGUCUUGGUGCAUUUCGUAGGGAUACAUGUCCUUAUAGGACUUUUGGAACUCUUGGUUCAUAGUGGCUAUCAUGAUGCAAUGGACUUUCGUUGCAUCACGCUCAUGUGUGUCAAAGACAGCCAUCUCUUCGGGAGUAGCGAUUUCCGGGUUGACUUUCUCGAGCUUUUCGUCGAGGAUAUACUCUUUGUCCUCGUAGCGUGCAAUGGUGCGAAUGUAUCUUAUCCACUCGCUAAAGUUCGUACCAUCGAAAGUCACCUUUUGGCAAAGACUCAUUAACGUGAAUGAGUUAGCAACAACGUUGUUUGCGUUCGACAUCUACAAAUAGAAAGGAAAAAGUUGAUUAGAAUUGAAUCCCUAAUUAAACACCCAAAAUGAAAAAUUAGGGCUAGGACCCAACAACAUUAUUUACAUAUUAGAAAAGGGAUGCCGUAAUCCAACACGCAAAUAAUUUGGAGGUAAGUGAAUGACGAUUCACUAAUUCUUCACCAUCGAAAACAUAACCUUAAGUUUUAAAUGCAUUGAGAAUUCCUAGAUUUUCUUUGAGAUUCAUUGAACAUUUCAAUGGCAUGUUUAAAUCUCGAUAUGCCCCUCUCGUUUGUGAUUGGGAUGCCGAGGAUCACAAAGUGGGUGUGAAUAACCAUGCAAAACUACAUGGUGCCUUCAUUGUUACAAUCACCUAUUCGAUGUGCCGGUAAACCACACACGCUCCAUCAAACUAUGAUAAACAAUGAAUCACCCUUUGCCACCUUUGCAUAGAACCAAUUAGUGUGCUGGUGAACCACACACGCUCCACUAACUUCUAGGCAAGGGUGAAAAGUGUAAUUUCAUGGGAUUGCAUCAAUUCACUUUUCCUAAAGUAACUAGGAUUGGGAAUUUUAUGAAAACGUGUAGUUACUUUAUAUAUUUACAUUAUACUUUUAAUGAGGAGAGAGAGUUGCCCUAUCCUACCCGUUCGGCAAACGACCCUCCACCAAUCAAGCAAGCGGUGGGUGUGAGUGUACACCCAUUAAACGCCAUUUUAUAGGCCGCAACCUUAUACCCACCUUAUAGACCGGCUUCGUGAAUGAGGCCUACUAGUGGUAAUACUAGCAUUUCAUUAUACAUAUAUAUUUAUUAAGCUUUUAAUAAUAUAAUAGUAUAGGGUUGAAUUUUAAACAUGUAAAACUCUAAGGGUUGAAAUUUAAAUUCUUCUAAAUUAAACUUUUAAUCACAAAAUUCAAAUUUCAAAACUUCGGGAUAAAUUUGAACUUUUCAAAAAUAAAAGGAUCAAAUAACAAAUAAUUCAAAUUAAACAAUUAAUUCCAUAAUUAUCUAUAUUUGACCUAAUCUUAUUUUAAUCAUUAGAUAAUUACCAAACAACCUUAAAUAAUCCAUAUUUAUCAUAUAAAUAACCAAUAUCCAAAAGAUUUGUAAUUAUCUAUUGUUAUGUCAAGGAUAAUCAUUAUAUUAGGUUAAAAUUCGGAUUUUGACAUAAUAAAACGAUUUAGGUAUCAAUCCAAGACAAAAACAGCAACAAAAUCCCGAGUUAUCCUCUGUCUGACGCUCGGACUCGCCGAGUCAGCUCUGGACUCGCCGAGUAGGGCCAACUCGCUGAGUCCAGACACUGACUCGCCGAGUUGGGUCGGACAGAGGUGAAGAAAAAUGAUUUUCAGCAAGCAAAACAGUUAAGCAUCAUAUUUAAUUGAAACCAAUCAAGGCUCUGAUACCACUGAUGGGUUUUAGACAUAAGAACUUUCCUAUGUGCACAUACAAACCCUAAAUCUUGGAUCUAGGUUUCUCUAAUUGAACAUGCAUUAUAUCCAAGACUUUCAUGGCUAGAUCUAACGUAAAUAAACAAUCAAAACAUGUAAGAAUAGAUCUAGAAGAAUACCUUGAAUUACUUUCUUGAAAUCUUCUUCUUCUUGGAGCUUAGAGUCACAAAUGUCACUCCUCUAAUGGCUUACAAACACCAACUAGAAAGAGGGUGACUUGAGAGAGAAUGAUGAGGAUGAGAAAUCGGCCCUAGGGUUCUUUGCCUUGCAAGAGUGCCGAUUUCCACAACCCCAUGGGUCUAUUUAUACUUGUGAGCUCCUAGGGUUUCACCCUAAAACCCUAAUUGGAUAACUUAGCUUCAAAGCAAUCCAAUAUCCCUCCUUGAUAAACCCUUGGACGAUUUCUAGGUGAUCCAUAUCCCUAAAAUCAUCCAACCCUUUAUCCAUAAGGAUUCUUAGCUCAAAAUACAACUAUCACACAUUUGAUAGUUUAUACCCCUUUAUUCAAUUAAUCUCUUUAAGUCACCAAAUUAAUUCCCAAUUAAUUUAUGACUUAUAUUAAUCAAAUAAUAUUAUUAUUUCUUUAAUAUAUUAUUCUUAUAAUAUAUUAAUAAUAAUAAUCUCCUUUCUAUAUAAAUUACCCUGUCAAGUUGCUAUGGUGAAGGCAACCCAAAAGGAUCAUGCACAAUCGGGUCAAAUACUUACCAAAUAUAGUUAUAGCCUUAGACAUUAAUCCAACAGUCUCCCACUUGGAUAAGUCUAGUAACUAUAGAUGCAAACACAAUCCGAUUAGCAAUCGUAGCUCUCAAAGACGCUGUCAACUCUAAUCUCAUCAGUAUCCUGUCCUUCAGAUAAGGGAUCGUACAGUUCUAUGGAACUUCUUGUCUAGCAUUUGGUUUCUCGAUCUCAGAUUUAUUUGACAUAGAACUUAAUUGAACACAUCAAUUCAGUCCUAACCGGGCCCAACACAUAAGUCAAAUCAAAUCAUCGAGCGGCCGUGAUAUAUUUUACCCUCUUAGGAUAAAAGUAACAAAUAAACUUCGACUUAUAUGCAUUUACUUAUUCACUAAUCAACUAUACACAACAAUGCGUUUUAUGACAUCAAUUUACUGAUCCGGUUUCGCAUUAUCAAUGCACAACCAAUUAGUAAAUAAUAAACCAUAUAUCUAGGUUUUAAGACCACAUGAUAUUAUCAUCUUGCGAUCACCCUUUUGUCACAUUCCAUAAGGUGAUUCCAGCAAGCGCGGGUUUAUUCCAAUGCUUAAAACUUAUUCAUAAGCACUCAUGAACAUUGCAGCAAACCUUUUGCUAUGUCUAAUACCAUUUAGACAAUCUACACACCAAUUCAUGACAAUCUUCAUUCAUACCUACUUCCAACAUAUGAACGAUUGUGGACCGUUUGAAUAAUUCGAUUAUUCUUAAUAAACUCAAUUAUUAUGGAAGUCAAAACAUGCAAAGUGAAACAAUAGUUAAACAAUUAACAUAAGACAGUAACCUUACUUAUAAAUAAUACUCCUUUAUUUAAUCAUCAAAUGUCAAUUACAUUUAUCUAUUACAAGUUUCUAAAACUAUCUAAUCCAAACUAAUAUCAUCCUUCAGCCCAAUACUCCUAGCAUGCUGCAAAUGCUUAACCCUACUCAGUCCCUUCGUAAGCGGAUCUGCUGAGUUAUCUUCUGAUGAUAUCCUCUUAACCACGAGGUGUCCUUCUUCUACUCGAUGUCUAAUUAAGUGAUAUUUUCUGUCGAUAUGCCAAGGUCUACCAUGAUCCCUUGGUUCCUUGGUCAAGGCAACCGCUCCUUCAUUACCACAGAAAAUUUCCAUGGGCUCCUUUAUGGCAGGCACAACUCCAAGGUCACCAAUGAAGUUCUUCAACCAUAUCGCCUCCUUCGACGCUUCGCUCGCUGCAAUGUACUCUGAUUCGCACGUUGAAUCAGCUACAGUUUCCUGCUUGGAACUUUUCCAAGUUACUGCUCCUCCAUUAAGGGUAAAGACCCAGCCCGACUGCGAACGGUAGUUGUCUCUGUCGGUCUGGAAACUAGCGUCACUAUACCCUCGCACCUUUAAGUCAUCACUCCCUCCGAGGACCAGAAACCACUCCUUGGUUCACCGAAGGUACUUAAGGAUGUUCUUGACCGCAAUCCAUUGCGCUUUGCCAGGGUUCCCUUGAUAUCUACUGACCAUGCUCAAAGUAAAAGCUACAUCAGGGCGAGUACAAGUCAUAGCAUACAUGAUUGAGCCAACCGCGGAAGCGUAAGGUACUCAGCUCAUCUCUGCUAUCUCGGCUUCGGUACUCCGACUUUGAGUCUUACUCAACUUGGCAUUACUUUGUAUCGGUAGUUCUCCCAUCUUCGAUUUUUCCAUACUAAAACGUUUUAGUACUUUAUCUAAGUAAGUAUUCUGACUAAGUCCUAUUAGUCUCUUACUUCUUUCUCUCACUAUCCUUAUUCCCAAAAUAUAAGAAGCCUCUCCGAGGUCCUUCAUAGCGAAGCACUUCCCGAGCCAGGACUUAACUUCCUGCAGAGUCGGGAUGUCGUUUCCUAUGAGCAGUAUGUCAUCGACAUACAAAACGAGGAAGCUAACUAUACUCCCACUGGCCUUGACAUAUACACAUGACUCAUCUUCGCUUCGUACAAAUCCAGACUCUUUGACUUUCUCAUCAAAGCAAAGAUUCCAUCUGCGAGAUGCUUGCUUAAGCCCAUAAAUGGACUUUUCAAGCUUGCACACUCUAUUGGGAUGCUUCGCAUCGACAAAACCCUCUGGCUGAGCCAUGUAAACAUCCUCAGCCAACUUCCCAUUAAGGAAAGCGGUUUUGACAUCCAUUUGCCAUAUCUCAUAGUCAUGAAAUGCAGCAAUGGCUAGCAUCACCCUAAUAUACUUAAUUUCCGCAACUGGUGAGAAGGUUACAUCAUAGUCAACUCCGGGAGUUUGAGUAAAGCCCUUCGUCGAAGGAAAUUAUUUUUAAGAAGCAAAGCACUGUCUGAGUUCGGAAUCACCACCUUUUCAAGUGAGUGCAUAGUCCCUUUCAUGAACAUGAUUUUAAUAUAAGUAUCGAUUGAAGUAUUAAAUAUAUGUUUAUGUGCGAAUUAUUUGAUGUUGCCUGAGAUACUUGUUAAAGAACAUACCGGAUUAUAUAUGCUGAUUUAGAAUAAAGAGUAAACCUAAAUUAAUUAUGAGGAAUAUUGGGUAUUGUUUUCUUACGAGUACGAGUGAAUUAUACUUGGAGAAUAAAAACCUUAGUAUAUGUCAUUGAUCCGGGAGUAUGGAUUAGACAUAGUCAUUGUCCCUAGUCCGAGAGUAUGGAUUAGGCAUAAUCAUUCAUCAUUAAUCUGAGAGUAUGGAUUAGUCAUUUGUCCCUAGUCCGAGAGUAUGGAUUAGGUAAAGUCGUUCAUUUAUGAUCCGGGAGUAUGGAUUAGGUAAAACGGCUAAUCUUAGGUCCGAGAGUAUGGAUAGUCUCGUUGUGAGGAUCGACGGGGUGGGAUAAGAGUUGUUUAUAUAUAUGGUGAAAUUGUAUAUUUUGUGAGUUUUAAACUAUAUAUAUGGUAUAACAUUGUCAGAUUGAAAUCCCUAUGUACUCACUAGGUUUCCCAACCUGACCCACUCAGUUUAUUUAUAUCACAGGUGUUGAUAUGAAGUCACAUUACACUGAGAGAUUAAGGAGAUAUAAAUCACUAGUGAUAAUGUGUAACGACCCAAUUUUUCAAGUCCAAAAAUUUCAUUUUUUAUUUAAACACCUUGCGAAACGUUUGAAAAUAAACACCAUUCGAUCAUAUCAUUUCUUAAAACAUAUUACGUGUCUGAAAACCAAAACAUGAAAUCAACCAUAGUGUCAGAGUACAAUUCCCAGAAUAAUCUCAUAGUGCGGAAAACGAGAUGUGUGUAUGAUAUGCCGCUACAGUGCUAGCUCCUUCCCUUUCGCCGAAGAGGUACCUGAAACCAAAACUAUAAACUGUAAGCACGAAGCUUAGUGAGUUCCCCCAUAAUACCUCAUACCAUGCAAACAUACAAUGAUCAGCUAGGAGGUACGGGCCUCACCCACACUCAUGGAGAUACGGGCCUCACCCACACUCUGCCAGCUGGGAGAUACGGGCCUUGCCCACACUCUGCUAUCUGAGAGAUACGAGCCUCGCCCACACUCUACAAUAUGAGAGAUACGGGCCUCGCCCACACUCCACUAUCAGAGAGAUACGGGCCUCGCCCACACUCCAUUAUCAGAGAGAUACGGGUCUCGCCCACAUUCAACUACUAACCCAUAACAUACAAGUAUCACACAGACAACGAGUAUAAACGAUUCUAUCAUACUGGCAUAUAUCAUAAUCAAACUCAACUAUGAGAUACGGGCUCUGCCCACACUCCGACACUAACAAAUCUUUUGUACGGGCCGGCCUUGGUGCCUUAGACCCGUUGCUACUGGAAGGAAACUCGCCUCGAAAAGUAGCUACCGAAAGUCUGAUAGCUAGACGUCUGGCUACUGCCCCGGUAAUCCUCCGGCUAUAAAUCCAUAAACAUAGGUUAGCCACUCAUAAAUACCCUUAGGUCAAAUGACUGACCCACCCUUGGUCCAAAGUCAACUCCUUGGUCAAAGUCAACUUCCAGUUGACUGGACUCGCCGAGUCAUGGCACAGACUCGACGAGUCCUUCCCCUACUAACCCGGUCCUACUCGCCAAGUCCCUCUUCCCACUCAUUGAGUCACCCUUAACUCACUACUUGGGACGAUUGAACCGAUUUGCGAUCCGACUUGCCAAGUCCAAGAACAACUCGUCGAGUCCCCACGAGCAGAUCUCUUACUAGCUUCCAAAUCCUCACUAGAGCAUCCUUUAUGAGGAUUUGGGUUUCUAGGACUAUUGCUACACGUUAAAUUGCUAAUUUUGUGUGCAGAUACGAAGGGUUGGACCUUCAACACUCAAACCCCUCUUAUUCUGUAACAGUUCAUAUGACUCACCGAGUUUGAAGAACAACUCGUCGAGUUCUAGGCAAUCUUCAUAGGACUCGCCGAGUUGUUCAUCCAACUCGCCGAGUCUAAGGCCAUCUUUAUAGAACUCGCUGAGUUCCACUUUGGGACUCGCCGAGUCCCUUCGACCCAUUUCCCAUACAGACCAAAUCUGAGACAUUCAAUGCUUCCAAACCAUAGAUCUAUGUUCCUAGGGCAUGCUUAUCACGUAAAGUUGCAAACUUUAUGUGCAUGCAUGGCCCUAUAAGCUCAAGAAGGCAAAUCCAAGCUCUUUAAGAGGUUAUACACUUAAUAGGGACCUCAAUAACUCCAACCACAGAGACUUUACACUUCUAAGAUUUCCAUAAGGUCCAAAUCUUAAGUCCUUUCAGAACAUAGAGCAUAAAAACAGGGAGUUUGAGGUUUUGGGGCUUGAAAACCACUAAUUUGGGACAAAAAGGGGAUCUAAUGAACUAGUGAUCAAGGUAAGAGCUUUUCUACCUGGAUGGAAGCUUCUCACAGUGUAGAUUCCGGAUCUACCUCCCCUCCUUGCACUCUUCAACCUCCUCCUUCUUCUUCUAAGCUCCAAACUUCCUUCAUAAAUCCAAAAUCACUCACAAGAACAAUAUGGGGGCUAGGGUUUCGCUCUACAGCUCUUCUGGAAGUGUCAGGGACAAGGGAGGCCGAGUUAGAGUGUUUAAAUAGGGUGCAAACACCCGGGUUAGGGUUUUUGCCCAAACAGGGCCUACUCGCCGAGUCCGAGAACCGACUCGUCGAGUCCAAAGCUUAGACCUCGCGUCUCAUCCCGCUUCUACUCGGCGAGUUGGUCCUUCAACUCGCUGAGUCCAAGGCAAAAUGCAUAAUUAAGAAAUAUUAAUUACAAGGAUUGCGUAUCAGGAACCAGGUGCUACAUAAUGAAUGUAAGUUCUGUUUAUGCUUAUAUUUCUGUAUUGACGAUGACAUCCCAAAUGUUUUAAAAUGAAUAAAAAUACUUUUCUUCGGAAGUGCUUUGAUAACGUAUUUAUCAUGUUUUACUACGAACAAAUUCCGCAACAUUUUUAUUAAAAGAGGUACUCUGAUUUUUAUAAAGCAUAAACAAAAUCGGUUUUUUCUGGCCGAGAAAAUGGGGAUGUCACAACUACCACUAUCACAUAUAACGUAUCAUGCUAGCACAUAAACAUAUCAGGUAGUAGCAAACCAGACAAUUAUCACAAAGACAAUCAUCUCAACUAUAAUCAACUAUUAGUGGGUCGACAUUGGUGUCUUAGACCCACUUCUACUGGAAGGUAACUCACCUCAAUGUCGUAAAGUAUCUGAAUUGUCCUUGCUGUCGGAAUCAACCCCUCUCAGGUCCUACACACAAUAAUCUUUCUUAAUUGCCAUUUCCUGGUCAGCUCAGGUCAAAGUCAAAGUCAAGGUUAACACCUUAGUCAAAUUCAAUGCUAAGUCAAAGUCAACAUCCAGUUGACUCAACUCGCCGAGUUGGCCCCACAACUCGUCGAGUCCCGGAAUCAUGAAAAUGCCAAGACUUUUGGCCCUACUCAUCGACCCUUACAAGAGCUCGUCGAGUUCUCCUUUAAACCAAGUCGGGACCUUCUACAACUGACUCGCUGAGUUCAUCCUUGAACUCAUCGAGUUCAUCUUCAUCCGACUUAAGGUGUUUCGUCCAUGACUUACUGAGUUCAUCCUUGAACUCGUCGAGUUCAUCUUCAUAUGGUUGGGAUAUUGCCCUGGAUUGUUCGAGUUUCGCUCUUGAACUCACUGAGUUAUAUGAUUUCUAGGUCCAGUUUCACAUCUAUCAUGUUGAGUCAUCUUCUAGACUUAACCAAUUCGAUCAAAGCAGAAAAGGGUUGGGGAGCCAUACCCCGACUCGCCGAGUCCAAUGAAUGAUUCGCCGAGUCCCCCAAAGUCCAUGUCCAUACAGUUGAUUUCAGUCGGGUUUAACACAUCCAAAACAUAGAUCUAGCUUCCUAGGGUCCAUAAUACACGUAAAGUUACAAACUUGAUAUUCAUGCAUGGAAUUUUUGGCUGAAAUGGCCCUAAAAUGGAGUCUACAAGAUGCAUGGGGCUCUUAUGGCAAUAAAGUUGGCACCUUUAUGCCAUAGGAACCCUCAAUGGUUCCGGAUCUGACGUCAUACUCCUUUAUAACAACAAAAUCCCAAAUAUGGCACUUCCAAGGCUUAGAAAAGGUAUAAAUGAACCCUAACUAGAGAUAUAAGAGAUAAAUGGUCAAGGUUUCAACUUUAUACCUCAAAUAAGCUAGAAAUGUGCCAAAACCUCUGGAUUUUCUUGCUCCCUCUUGAUCUCUCAAGCUUCCUUCUCCUUCUCAAACUUCAAAUACACAUAAAUGGCACCAAAAAGCUCAAGAACACUCAAUAGAUGAUUAGGGUUUCGACUUAGGGCUUUUUUGGUCUGGGAGGGACGAUGGAGGCUGGGUUAGGACAAGAUAAGGUGUUUAAAUAUGGUGCAACCCCUAUAUAUUUGGGUUUCCUCCAUACAGUCCUAAUCGUCGAUUCGGGCUCUCCGACUCGUCGAGUAGGUUGCUUAAAACCCAUGUCUAUGAGUCUAGUCUACUCGAUGAGUUGGGCCUCUAACUCGCCGAGUCCUAGUGCAAAAACAUUCAAUUAAUUAAAUUUAAAUACGUACCGGGAACCGGGUGUUACAACUCACCCCCACUUAUUUUAGACUUCAUCCUCGAAGUCUACUGUUGCAUCCAGAAAAAACCUCGGGGUAGUGUUAUCUCAUCUCGUCCUCCGGCUCCCAAGUCCAUUCUGAGCCCUUGCGGUGCUGCCAUUGCACCUUUACCAACUCCACCCGCUUGUUGCUCAGGUCCUUCGACUUCAUGUCAAGGAUAGCUACUGGUCGCUCAAUGCAUGGUUAACAUGGCUAGUAUUUUACAUUGUUAAGCAACAUCCCUUCCAUUCAAAUACAUUGGCCGUCUUGUCAAGGCCAACAUGGCUCUCACUCGGAACCGACAGUCGGUAAUUGAUAAAUUUCAGGAUAAACUAUCACUGUGGAAAGAAAAAAGCUUAUCAUUUGGAGGUAAAAUUACAUUAAUCAAGUUGGUACUCAAUAGUCUAACCAUUUAUUAUUUCUCCAUUUUCAAAGCUCCAUUAGAUGUUAUUGAUACGUUAGAAAAGAUAAGAUGGAAAUUUAUCUAGGAGGAAAUGAAUUGCAUAAGAAGAUAUGUUGGAUUACUUAGGGAAAGAUGAUGGAUCCAAAAUCUUUUGGUGGAUUGGGUUUAGGAAGUCUAAGAGCUUUCAAUAUCACCUUGAUCAUAAAAUGGAAAUGGAAACUAAAUGUAGAUAAUAAUGCUAUGUGGGCGAAUGUAAUAUUGGCGAUUCAUAAAAGUAAUAGAAGUUGGAAGCUCCUUCCGUUAAAAGCGGAAAUUGGUGGAGUUGGGAAAAAUAUGAUGACAAUUGUUUGAGACUUCACUUCUUUAAACAUAAGCAUACAUGAGCUCCUUAAAAAUGUGUUAGGACAUGGAGACAAAACUUCAUUUUGGUACGAGUGUUGGACAGAGGAGGGUACUCUUUCUGUGAGAUAUCAAUUAUUAUACAAACUAGAAGCCAAUAAAAUGUGUUCACUGACCGAUAGAUGUAUAAAGGGGGAAUCAACAAUAUCUUGCUACUGGAACUAGAAUAGAAUGCCAAGAACCAAGGAGGAAAUUCGAGAACUAAUCAGUUGUUCUCAAGACCGAUACAUACAUUACUAGAAUAAUUGGAUACCAUUGAAGGUCAAUUUCUUCGGGUGGAGAGUUGCGCUGAACAUAAUUCUAUCAAAAAUCGACGUUGGCUAGAAAGGGCAUGGGAGUUAUCUCCACAUUAUGUGCGAGGGGUGGAGAAGUUGAUGAAACAGGAGAUCACCUGAAAUGUUCUUUUGCAUGCGAGAUAUGUGAGAAAGUAUUUUGUUGGUGUCAAAUGGAUUAUGCUCAGGUGACAAAUACAAAUGAACUUUUUUAGUUAAUGCACAAUCCGAGGGAAAUUCAUCAAAGUGCAAGAAGUUGAUUCAUGUGAUCUUUCUAACCAAUAUUUGGUUAAUUUGGCUUGAAAGAAAUGAUCAUAUUUUCAAUAAUAAACCAUCUUCCCAACACAAGUCUUUGAUGAGAGUUUGGCGAAUUCAUAUUUUUUGAUCAAGAAUAGGAGUAAAAAUCUGCAUUUAUACCCGAACUUUUGGCAAUUUUCUCUAAUUUUCGAGUUACAUAAUUAGCCUUGCAGACAUUUGUAAAAUGUAUUUAAUCCAUGGAUCUUCUAGCAUCUUUGCUGGGAUCCUUUUAUUAAAUAAUAAUUCGCCGUUAAAAAAAACAUAUUCCAAUUUAAUUUAUUAUUUGUUUUUUUAAUUGAGAUGUAUAAAAAAUACUAUAUUUAACAGCACCUUUGAAAAAAUUACUAUAAUAGAGCAUAUUUGAUAUGUAUUGGUUUUAUUUGUAUUUAUUGGUUAGUAAAGGAGGCAAUGUUUAAAAAAAAUAUGAUUAUUUGACUUGGUUGAGAGAUACCAUUUUGUGCAUCAUUAUAUAUUUUUUAAUGUAUCUCUUUGCUCAAGGUAAUAAAAAUUUAAAAUUUUAGCUAUGCUUUUUUUGUUCCAACUCUUUUGUUGAAAACCUUUCAUUGUUGCUGUCUCUCAUUAUCACUUGAUUUUUAAUAAAACGAUAAUGCAUCGAUCCUAAAAUAUUAGAAUUUAAUAAUAAAUUUACAAAAUAAUCAAUUUUAUUUAACUGAAAUCGUCUCUAUGGUUUGGUCAAACUUACACGUUUGGUCCCUAACUUUUUUUUAACACUCGGAUCGUCCAUGUGGUUUGAUUUUGUUGCGUUUUUCGUCUCUUAUAUACAUAAAGUUAGGGACCAAACGUGCAAUUUUGACCAAACCAUAGGGACAAAAAACGCAACAAAAUCAAACCAUAUGGACGAUCCGAAUGCAAAAAAAAGUUAAUGACCAAACAUGCAAUUUUAACCAAACCAUAGAGAGUAUUUCAAUAAUUUACUCUUUUAUUUAUCCACUAGAUGAAAGCACAUGCAACCACCUCUCAAAUGACAAUACAUCAAAAAGAAGGUGUCACACCCCAAAACCACGAACGGCGGAAACGUUCAGGGGUGGAGGACGUCAUGUACAGUAUCACAACAGUGUAAAAUAGUAAACAAGCAACAACAUCAUCCAUUGCAUUAUAAGUAAUGUUUUAAUACAUGUGUUCUUUCAUUGUAAUAAGACACCAAAAAUAUAUAAUCAAAAUAAAAGACGAGACUUGUCUGCUCCGUCUUCUCAAAACCUGGCCACCGUACCUGUCUACUGAUGACCUGAGAAUACAAGUUAUUUUGAAAGAGAGUAUCAGCUUUAAAGCUGGUGAAUUCAUAAGUAUUUAAGUGUCAUUGUCUUGCUUUGAAAAGCUGUUUUAAAAGUCAUGUAAACCUUUAAAUGAAAAUGUUGAUAUAAGUAUGAAAAGCCCUAGAAAAUCCCUUAUUUUCUAUUAUUAUGAAAUGUAGUCUUCAAACAAGACCCGAAUGUUUUGUAAGUAAAAUGAUAGUUUUUCCUUCUAUUGACUAGUACUAAAGUACUUAGUCUAACUCAUCGUUUAUGUGAAAGUAUCACAAAAUAAAGUAAACAGGAAAAUGUACUACUGUAAGUGUUGUCACUGGGUACUAGGACUAACACAACAUUGCAAUAAGCGAAAUAUGUAACCUAAUGAACAUCCGAAGAUUGUCCAGAAAAAGUAUUAAUGUAAGUGUUAUCAUUGGGUACUAGGAGUAACACAACAUCGCAAUAAGCGAAAGGUAUAACCUAAUGAACAUCCGAAGAUUGUCCACUUAUCCUCUGUAGCAGCAGCAGGGGGCAGGAAUGGUUAGUCCCGAAAUCGAUCUACCUAAUAUAAUUAUUAACCUUAGACCUCCGUAGAUGGUCAUCAACCACUGGUGCUAAUCAGUUGGGAUUCAGAAUGGUUAGUCCCGCCUAGAUAUCCCGUUGAACUGGGAUAGGAAAGAUAAUUUACACAGAAAGUACUAAUAAAUCAUCCUCGUAGUUCUAAGUACAAGUAUCCAGGUAAGUGAAUACAGGAUAAUGCACCUAUGUAAAAGUGUUCCUGUAUGGUAUUCAUGUAAGUGUGUUCAUGUAACAGGUAAGUAUAUGUAAACAUAUUCAUGUAUCAGGUAAGCAUAUGUAUAUGUACUCAUGUAUCAGGUAAUGUACUAGUAUAGACUCAUGAAUGAACUGACUCUUGUGUGAUUCCUUGUAAUAGGAAUAAUGUUUGAUAUCUUCAAAUUAUCCCUAUGAUAAUUUACUGAAAGGUAAUUGGUUGUUCAAGUAGGUUUAUACACUCUUACUACUCAAGGGUGUGGGAAACUAAAUGAAAGAUGUAAACUAUAACAUCAAUACAUAUAUAAGAAUAUAAGUGUAUAUGCAUAGUUUAGUUCAAGAAUGUAAAAUGGUUUUGUAAGACAUCUNNNNNNNNNNNNNNNNNNNNNNNNNNNNNNNNNNNNNNNNNNNNNNNNNNNNNNNNNNNNNNNNNNNNNNNNNNNNNNNNNNNNNNNNNNNNNNNNNNNNNNNNNNNNNNNNNNNNNNNNNNNNNNNNNNNNNNNNNNNNNNNNNNNNNNNNNNNNNNNNNNNNNNNNNNNNNNNNNNNNNNNNNNNNNNNNNNNNNNNNNNNNNNNNNNNNNNNNNNNNNNNNNNNNNNNNNNNNNNNNNNNNNNNNNNNNNNNNNNNNNNNNNNNNNNNNNNNNNNNNNNNNNNNNNNNNNNNNNNNNNNNNNNNNNNNNNNNNNNNNNNNNNNNNNNNNNNNNNNNNNNNNNNNNNNNNNNNNNNNNNNNNNNNNNNNNNNNNNNNNNNNNNNNNNNNNNNNNNNNNNNNNNNNNNNNNNNNNNNNNNNNNNNNNNNNNNNNNNNNNNNNNNNNNNNNNNNNNNNNNNNNNNNNNNNNNNNNNNNNNNNNNNNNNNNNNNNNNNNNNNNNNNNNNNNNNNNNNNNNNNNNNNNNNNNNNNNNNNNNNNNNNNNNNNNNNNNNNNNNNNNNNNNNNNNNNNNNNNNNNNNNNNNNNNNNNNNNNNNNNNNNNNNNNNNNNNNNNNNNNNNNNNNNNNNNNNNNNNNNNNNNNNNNNNNNNNNNNNNNNNNNNNNNNNNNNNNNNNNNNNNNNNNNNNNNNNNNNNNNNNNNNNNNNNNNNNNNNNNNNNNNNNNNNNNNNNNNNNNNNNNNNNNNNNNNNNNNNNNNNNNNNNNNNNNNNNNNNNNNNNNNNNNNNNNNNNNNNNNNNNNNNNNNNNNNNNNNNNNNNNNNNNNNNNNNNNNNNNNNNNNNNNNNNNNNNNNNNNNNNNNNNNNNNNNNNNNNNNNNNNNNNNNNNNNNNNNNNNNNNNNNNNNNNNNNNNNNNNNNNNNNNNNNNNNNNNNNNNNNNNNNNNNNNNNNNNNNNNNNNNNNNNNNNNNNNNNNNNNNNNNNNNNNNNNNNNNNNNNNNNNNNNNNNNNNNNNNNNNNNNNNNNNNNNNNNNNNNNNNNNNNNNNNNNNNNNNNNNNNNNNNNNNNNNNNNNNNNNNNNNNNNNNNNNNNNNNCCCCCCCCCCCAUUAAAGCAUUUAAAAUCAUUUAAAACAUUGAUUAGGGGUAUGAACUCACCUGUAGAUGGUGGUUUGGAUGAACUGGACGGUGUAGGAUUGUUAGGUGUCACGUGAGGACUUGUACACACACUACGAUCCUAAUGAACAUAUAAUCACACAUAUAUGCACUCAAUUAGUCUUAAAUUACUAAUUGAUAAUGUUAAGACAUCCUAGAACAUAAUAAACACUUUAUAUAAGUGUUAUAAGCCCUAAGGAUAACAUCUAAGCUAUUGUGGGACAAGGCACUUGGGUUUAGGGUUCCAAAGGACCCUAUACUUGAGUUUACUCUCCAUAUAACCUCACACAUGGAGUUUAUGGUUGUAAAAUCUUGAGUUUACGGCCGUAAACUCUUGAUUUUACGGCCGUAAACUCCAAGGCUUAAUGUCUUUGGUUGUUUUAAGGUGUUAAAAAAUCCCUAGAAGCAUUCCAACUUUGUGGGUUAAUUCUUGGAAGUGUUUAGGGCAUAAUUUCACUCCUUUGAGGAGUUUACGGCCCCAGGGCCAAUUCCUUUGGAGUUUACUACCGUAAACUCACUUGGAAUGGUGUUUUUGAUGCUUUCAAGUCUCUUGCACAUGUAGUAUAGGUCUUAGACUUUUAUCCCAAGCAUAUGAAGGCCUUAGGCACACUUUGGUGCCCUUCAUUCAUGUUUACGGCCCAAGAGCUUUAUUAGGGCCGUAAUCUCCCAAAAAGAUGUGUUUUUGAUGUGCUUUAGUCCUUGAUUUAAGUGGGAACAAUUCCAAGUAAAUGUCUAAGGCUUUAGGUGCCUUAAAAGCACCCUUUGAUCCAAGUUUUUGGAGUUCACGGUCCAAGAUCAACUUGGGUCGUGAACACCCAUGCUUUUGUGUUUCAUGGUUGUUUUCUUGUCCCAAAUACACUUAUAUAUGUGUCUAAGGUAGUAGCAUAACACGAGGGAAGGUCUAGGCAUUGUUUCGGGAGUUUACCGCCCAAGAACACCUUGGGGAGUAAACGUUCAGGGGUGGAGGACGUCAUGUACAGUAUCA
rnacentral:lncRNA from 1 species